rnacentral:lncRNA from 1 species
UUUUCUUUUUUCGUUUAUUGAUCUUCAGUGUCGGUUGAUGGGUGAGGGAGUGAAGCGGUGGUGAGCGUCUUUCUUCUCCGGUGGUGUGAGGUGUGGUUUGGUCUUUGGCUCAUUGCUUGUUGGUGGCUCUCCUUCACGGCGGCCAGAGAAGCGGUUCCUUCGUUCUGCUGGUUAAGGACAACAGUAGAUUGGAUCUUGUUUCUCACGGCUCGGCGGCUUGUGAUUGUGGCUCCGGCGAGUAGCGGAAGUUGAGCUUUCGAUCGGUGGGUUUCACCACUUUGCGAAGAGGUUAACGGUGGCUCCUUGGCAGGAUCCUAGAUGGCUAGUUUCGGGUGAUCCUUGGCCGGAUUUGGGCGGUUGAUGGCUUGUUUUGAGCCGGCGUCCAUCAGCUGCCUCCGUUUUUGGCUUCCUCUUUGCCGGAUCUGAAGACUGAUUUAGCUUUUGGAGUGGUUCAAGGAAGAACGUCGAGGGAAGUAAGGGUUAGUUUUGAUGUCUCUCUUCUUGCUAGGUCGGGGAGAAGAGGUCCUGGGUCUCGGUUGUGGCGGAUCUUCCUUUCCCGAAAGGAAAGUUCUGGGUUCGGUUUGUGUCUCGGCGACAGGUUGCGACCGGAUUUGCUAGCUCCGGUCAAAGUCUUGCUGUUGAGGUCUUGUCCGCAAAGGAACCGUCCUUGUUAGCAUCGGAUCUGGAAGGCGAGAUUCGUGUUUUCCGGUGUACUGCCUUCUUCAGAUCUCACUUUGCUUGUGUUUCUGAUUGGGCCAUUUCUUUUUGUAACCCGUUAAUUUUCUAGGCCCAUCAGCCUAAGCCCUUUUUGGGAAUUAUUAAUAUAUUAAAAAAAAAAAAAAAAAAAAAAAAAGUUUCUCCACUAAAGACACGUGGAACCACACCCGUACCACCUCAGCUAGGGUCGCUUGGCACAGCGGGGUUUGGUUCACUAACGGAACACCUAAGUUUUCCUUUUGUGUCUGGCUGGAAACACGGAACAACUCUCAACGGGGGUUUGGUCGACGAGCUGUGUCUUCUGCAAUGCAAGUUCUGAAACUCGGGAUCACUUGUUUUUUAGCUGCAGGUUUACCUCACAGGUCUGGAGAGCAGUAGCCAAAAACAUUUUAAAAACAAGGUAAUCAUUCGACGAGCUGGGCCUCACUAAUCAACUCUGUUUCAAAUAAGUGGAACGAUCAAAUCGAAAACUUCAUUGUUAGAUACGUUUUCCAAGCCACGGUCUACACUAUAUGGCGUGAGCGAAACGGGAGAAGACACGGAGAGAACCCCAGCACACCAAAUCAACUAAUCACUUGGAUAGAUAAGCAACUUCGGAAUCAAUUUUCAGAGAUAAGAGCCGCUGGUGAUAGACGUUAUGAGAAAGGCCUUCAAAGAUGGUUUGAGUCGAGACUCUAAGCGAAAAACAUUCUGAUUUUUUGAUUUUCUGUUUCGAUUUCAGUUUUCUCAGCUUAAGCCAAAUGUUGCACUAGUUGUAAAAACAUAUAUUUUUUUCCUUCUUAAUUUAACAUUACAUUAAAAAAAAAAAAAGAUAGUGGUCAAGCUUAUCCUACAUAUGAACUCAAUUUUCUUGAAGGCAUCAGUCUCUUAACCAAGUGAGAGAAAAAGAAUAGCUGACCAUCUCUCAACUGAAACCAUAUAUGUUUAACCAAUUGUGAUUCUUGGUAAAUUUGAUGCCUCCGGUUUGCAUGGACUUUAAAUGGUUUUGAAAAACUGGGUUUAUCUUACUAUUAAUAUUGGAAUAUUGAAUUACGAGACUCACCAAUGUAUAAGGUAAGUAAAUACAGUAUAAGCCAAAUUUCGUGUCGGGGUCAAAUAUAGAACACUCAGGAACAUGGUGAUAUUUCAUUAUUGAAAGAAGAUGGUGUUUCUUUGAUAUAUGUUGGUAAUUCAUAUUAAGACAAUAUAGUUCCUCAAAAUUAGGAACAGAUGAUAACAUGUGGAACAGCAGCGAAAAAUUCUUUUGUUGCAAAGACCUAAACAAAACCAUUUUAAAACUAUUAAACAAGCUUAGAAAUAUUUGACCCAACAAGAAGUGAAAGCUAACAAAGUUUUCGAAAGAAUAUUACUUCCGGAUCAAAGCCAAGACUACGAGAAUGAAAGCCAUUCUCUCUAGUUUGUUCUAUAAGAAAUUAAGAAUUCAUUUUGCAAAAAAAGAGAAGAAGAAGCAAAAUUAGCAAAAAUCUCUAGUUGCAACAAAUAAGAUAGUUUGUGAAUAAAAAAACUAAAAUCCUAAUCAAAUUUAGCUUUCUCACCAACCAAGAAGCCAAAAAAGUACGUAAAUUUAAACUUGUAGUUCUGCUAGUUCUUCUCUUUGACCUCGAGGAACAGGCACCAAACUGGGAAUAAAUGUAGAGUGCGAAGGCCAAGGAUCAACCACAUAAUCUAUUUGAGUUUUACUGACCAACUUAUUUUCCCCGAAAACAUAGAUCAAAGCCCGACCAGUUUCAUCGCAAGAGCACACUACGAGCCUUUAUCUUCGAUGAAGUAACUUGGCUGAGAGUAUCUAGGAUCUACUAAAUCCGGCAAGUUAGGACUUGACACUUCCAUGAACUUUAUCCAUUCCACAUCUUCACUAUCCAAAUUAUUAUUAAUCUUGUACUUGCUCACCCAAACCUCAAUCUUCUUUGUUGCAUGGCAUUGCUUUAACAAUGAAAAACGAUCUCCCUCAAAAACCUUGAGGACAAGAGCAUCCUUAAGAUAGUCCGUCGUUCCACAUGGUAGAUCACAAAAUCUGAAGAACUUUUCGCUCGAGUAAUUGAAUUUAUAUAGGUUGUACACGGGAUCAGUCUUGUCAUAAAAAGUAAUCCAAUACAAAUUUCCGUUCAACGAUACACCAGUACUUUUGUUGUGUAAUAUAGGCCUUUUUUCUUCCUUACUAAUACCAGAAUCUAACUUCCUAUUACCAGAAUCUAACUCGAGGUCUUUCCAUGCAUUGGAGGCAAAGUCAUGGAUUGUCCACAAGCUCUUGGUGGGAUGUUCCUUCCAACAACAACCAGCAACGAUCUUGUAACUCCCCUUAUUGUUGUAUCCUAUGCCAUAGGCUUCCAUUCGAGUUUGGUUUAAAUCUUGCUCAAUCCAUCUACUCUGUCUCAAGCAAGGGUUCCAAACCACAGCUCCUUUCUCCGUCCCACAUAGCAACAACUUAUCGCAAUCAAUCAAGUAUUUAGGUAUGUGGGAUUCUAAACCGGGAAAAUAAAAGGUUAACUCACACACCUCUAUCUUUAGAUCGAUACUUACCGAAUAAAUCUGAAGAGUACAGGAAAGAUAUGAUCCAUCUAGAUCCACAGGGCCAUAAGGUGUCUAAAGUUUUUCCUUUUCCUCCUGGCUGUGAUUGAGUUCUUGAUUUGGCGGUCAAUAUCUCUGAAGAUAGUGAGCGGCGGUAUGAUGAUUUGGUUAUGAAUGAUGUUGUUUCUCUGUCUCCAGACACAAUAAACUAGCGCUUGAAUCAGAAGAAUUCGCAGAGUUCUAGGAGAAGCAGCAGAACUCGCCUUUGCCCAAACAACCAAAGAAGACCAGCUAGCAAAAGUUGUUGUAGAAAGUCGAAUCCUGUGCAUAAUUCUGUCCCAGAUGACUCGAGAGAAUUGGCAAUGGAGAAAUAAGUGGUCUCGAGUUUCAGUUGCAGCCCGACAUAGACUACAAACAGAAGAAACUUGUAAACCCCAUGAAGCAAGACGCGCCAUAGUGGGUAACCUAUCCAUAUUAGCAAUCCAAAAGUUGAAAGCAUGUCUUGGAAUGUGGCCUUUAAACCAAACGGUUUUGGCCCAAUCUUUUUCCGGCUCUCUUGGUCUCAGGGAUUCCCAAGUCUUACUUGCCGAAAAACUCCCAUAAGUCUUAUCAUCAAUAGCCCAGUCAAAAGAGUCCUCUACAGACCCCGGAUUGGGGUACCAAUAGAAGAUAAGUAAGCGUGGAGGGAGACAGCAUUAUCAGACCCUGCAGGGGCAAGGUUCCUUCCUCUCCAAUUAUAAGCAUCAAUAACUCUUGAGUUCAGUGGAACUCUUAGUAUUCUCGGACCCUCAGCACCAAAAACGUCAAUUAGAGGGCCAAGUGGAGUCCAAAAGUCAUGCCAAAACCAAGCUUUUGAUCCAUUACCAAGAUGACAGCGGAUAAAUUUAUGAGUAAGACCCCGCAGCUUCAACAGACCUUUCCAGAACCAAGAAUCUGUACUCUUUGGCUUUAAAUCCCAGAAGCUACAGCAAUCCAGCUUGUGAUGAUGAGACUGCCAAGCAACCCAAAGAGAGCCACUGUUUGAGAAGAGCAGCCAAAUGAGUCGCAGGCAAAGUGUUGUGUUCCAAACAGAGAGCUUUCGCAGACCUAAGCCUCCUUCCUUCUUUGGUAGGCAAACCGUUGACCAAGCAACUUUCGCUUUAGAAUGAGUAUCGAUGUUUCCCAACCAGAGGAAGCGUGAGCAGAGAGAUUCGAUCUUUCUAAUACAACCCUUGGGGAGCAUAAAUGUAGACAUCCAAAAAUUCACAGACCCGUAAAUCACCGAAGCAAUUAGUUGGGAUCUGCAAAAGAUAAAGACUUUACAGCCCAACCAUUGAACUUGCUAAUGAUCUUCUCCAAAAGAGGGGAGUAUUCAUUUAUUUUCAGCUUCCUGGACAUUAAUGGAAAGCCAAGGUAUCUAACAGGUAGAGUCAUCGUAGAAAAUCCGUAGACAGCAGAUACAUCAAUCUCUCUUUGAGAGAGACCAGCUUGGAAGAGAACCGUCUUAUCUCUAUUCAUGUUUAAGCCUGACCAGCCCGCAAAGUCUUCAAGGGUCUCAUAAAUACCAUGAAGAGAAGAAGAGCUACCAUCAAAGAAGACCAUGACGUCGUCUGCGAACAUUAGAUGCGAAAUUUCCAAAUCAGCAGUUUUUGAUAUGAAAGGAAAUAUAACCCGAAGCAAAUCUGGAGGACAAUAACUUUGAGAACACCUCCAUUGCCAAAACAAAGAGAUAUGGUGAGAGUGGGUCACCCUGCCUCAAACCUCUGGAGCUUUUGAAAUACCCUGCAGUCAUACCAUUUACAGCAAUCGAGAAGGAAGGAGAACAAACACAUUCUUUUAUCCAGCCUAUAAAUAUGUCCGGAAAGCCUAAAGCUGCAAGAGAUGCCAAAACAAAAUCCCACCUGAUAGAAUCGAAGGCCUUUCUGAUGUCGACUUUAAGCAUAGCUCUUGGUUCAAUAUUUCUCCAGUUAUAGCCUUGGACAAUCUCUGAAGCAAGUAGGACAUUUUCAGAUAAAAGCCUACCAGGCAUAAAUGCUGACUGAGAAUGAGAGAUUACUGAACACAAAACUGAUAUUAGCAUGUUGGAUAAAAGCCUUGAGAUCACCUUGUACAUUGUAUUUAGGCAAGAAAUCGGUCUAAACUCCGAGACUUUUGAAGCAUUCUGAAUUUUCGGAAUAAGCACCAAGUUUGUGGCGUUCCAUUGCUUUAGCAUAGUGCCAGAGGAGAAAAAUUCAGAAACAGCAGCAGAAACCUCAGCUCCUAUUACACUCCAACAGCUUGUGAAGAAUUCUGCGGAAUACCCGUCUGGACCACUAGUCUUGUUCUUUGGGAGGGAGAAGAACGCUGCUUUAAUCUCUUCCAUUGUAAACAAUUGGUCCAGUCCUGUUUUUUGUUCCUCUGAACAACUGAAAUUCAGCAAAGCAGUAAUAUCAUCUUGACAAAAAAGCGACUGGCCCUCAGAACUACCUAGGAGACCCUUGAAGUAGUCAACGCAGUGAUUUUGAAUGCCAUGCUGCGACUCAAUAGAACAACCAUUGUCAUCAACCAGAAAAUGAAUGUGAUUUAAACCUUGUCUUGUUGAUGUGAUUCUGUGAAAAUAAGCCGAGUUCUGGUCUCCUUCAUCAAUCCACUUAAUCCUAGAACGCUGGUAGAAGAAGCUCUCUUCAGCCUUUGCGAGGAUUUCCCACUUUCUGUUUGCUUCAGAUUCGACAGCUGCAUUAGCGACUGAAGGGUUGGAAAGCAUACUCAGCUGAGCGUCAGUCAACACAACUAAGGCUUCCUGAACUCUUUUCUCCAAAUCAGAAUAGUUAAGCUUGCUAAAUGACAUGAUAUCCUUUUUCAAUUCCUUUAACUUUGAAGAGACCCUGAACAUUUCAGACCCAACCACAUUUAAGGAGAACCAACUGUUGCACACCAAAGAGAGAAAGUCAUGAUUCUUCAGAAGAAAGUUAUAGAACUUGAAGGGUUUUUUGCGCCUUGGCUGAGCCGAAUUUAGAGUGAUGGUGCUUGGAGAGUGAUCAGAGAAUUCUGGGGCUCCAAAGAAACCAGUGGAGAGAGGAAAGAGAGCUUGCCAUUCAUCAUUUAUCAAGAUUCUGUCAAUCUUUUUUGCAACAGGAUUUCCAAUUCUUUUGUUCCACCAUGCGAAGGAGCAACCUCUAAAGUUUAGGUCAAAGAGAGAAGAGUAUGAUAGAGUAUUACCAAAGGCUCUCAUAGCACUGUCCAUGUUUUGAUCUGUUCGAGAUGAAUGAUCAGAGGCCAAAAGGAUUUGGUUGAAAUCACCAAGAACCACCCAAGCCUUUCCCAAAACAGUCGGAGAAGAAGCCAAAGUAACAAUCUCCGACCACAAGACGCUUCUGACAGCCUGCUCAUUUGAAGCGUAGAGAAAAGACACAAUGAACCCAACAGGAUUAUCCGGAAAUUGAACCUCGCAUGUAAUCAUUUGAAGAGACUUCGACACAAUCACCACCUUAACACUAGGGUGCCAAAGGAUCCAAAUCUUUCCUAACUCUGAAAAAUUGUAAUUGUCUUCAAAAAACCAGCCCGGAAGUAACGCAUUAACAAACUUUGCGAUCUUCGGCCUUUUAACAUGAGUCUCAAUGAGACUACCAAAAAUGGGCUUAAUACUAUAGCACCACUUCUUGAAACCGCUUCUAUGUGAUUGCUUAUUAAACCCGCGGACGUUCCAACAAAAGAUGUCUCUACACAUCGAAAAUUAGUGAAGUUUUGGGCCAAGUGCCCUAGUGUUUCUCCGAUCUCUCUUUGAAACAACCUCCAAAUAUUCAUGUGUGUAAAACCUGGUGGAAAAAAAAACCAAAGACAUCACAAGUUAGUGAUAUAGUGAAGCUUCGGAGCAAGAGUCCUUCUCCGAGACGUAGGGGUUAGCCGUAAACUCGGUUCUCAAAUUCUUAUGUUAAUUUUUUUCUUUUAAAAGCAAAUGUUAUUCUCAGUUUUCUCUACACAUGUGUAUAACAAAAUCUUAAAACAAUAUAAUCAACCAAAUUUUUUAUUAUUCAACUAUGACAAAAAAAAAAAGGCUUGAAAAAUAAUUUUCCAAGUCAAUGGUCAACUUAAAUAUUCUCAAGAUAAACAAACAAAUCCACCGAUUAAAUAUCAUCUGGGCCCCUUCUCUUGGAAUAUCAUGCCAAUCAUCCCAUGACAGUAUUGGAGGACAAUUUCGUAUAUUCCACAUCUCCGAGCGACUCAACAUCUUUGCUUUGGAGGCUCUUACAUUGGAAAUAGACAACGGUGUAAGUCACAAGCUGAAACAUCCUCAGCGCAAAGUCCAAACACACAAAGACUAAACCAGUGGCUAAGGUAACCGAGAAAGAUCUUCUCCAAUUUAUCAGCUGCAAGAUUUGACCUAAUCCGAAUGUCAAUAAAUGGAAGGAAAGAUUCAAGAGAAAUAUUUUUGGCUUCAUCCCUUUAGCAAUCUUUGCAGCUUUCCUUAAAGCUUUGAUCCCAUAAGUUUCCUCUAGUAUCGAUAUGACCAUAGAUAAGUUCCAAACGAUAGCUAAAUAGGACUCAUAGACUUCCAAUAGAAUCAAUAAAGGGACAGACUUGGCUACCAAGAAAAAAAGUUUUGAAGAAAACACUAAGAGAGGACAAAAAAUUAUAGCGUAUAGGAACCCAUAGCCAAGAAUGAAAAGAGCAAUAUAGAAUUUUGUCACAAGAGGUCCCUUCCAAGAUUUAAAGGUCAUAACCGGAAAAUAUUUGAUCUUGAUGUUUUCAUUUUUCAGAGUAAGAGCUGAUGCGUGAACGGUGACUAGAUCAGAAUAGAGGUUAAUAAUGGGGAAUACUGCCAUGAAGAUGUAUGAAAAACCCACAAACGUUUGGUUAAACAAGAAAACUAAACAAUUGAGUAAGAAGGGGAAUACCAAGACUGAGAACAUCAUCGACAUUUUUUUGUUCUUGAGAAACAAUUUGCGGGUUUCAUGUAGAAUACCCAAUCCCUCCAUUACAACAUUCAAGAACGGAAAUCGAUCCAUGAUUUCAGAAAGACAAAGGAAAACAAAAGUUCUUGGCUAUCGGUUUUUGGUAAAGGUAGUGAGUGAGGGUUUAUAGGAUCAAACCCAUAUAUAUAAGCUUAGUGCUAUAUGUAUACUAAAGAGAGUCUUUGGCGUGUUCCUUGGGUAGCUUCGGUGAUUUGACUGUGUCAAAGUCUCCAAACAUACUCCACAAUAGUAUUAGUAUUUAAACCAAAACAAAUGAAAGAGGCGGCCAAGACUUAGCCAUAAUCAAGAACAAAGAAAGUGAAGCAUAAUGCAUUGAUGAAAAGUCUAAACGCAAUGACUUCCUGACGACGACGUAACUGAUUAAAGAGUGAAAACAAAAGCUAGCGUAUUCAAUAAUGCAUUUGGCCUUCCUCAUCAAUUGUACGUGAUUAACACUUACUUCAUUUAUUCGUGUUAAAUAAGUCAAGAUACACUGUAGCACCGUGUAAGAAAUGAAACGAUGACAUCUAUAGAAAAGAUACUUGGGAGAUAUAACAAUAUUAGGUGUUUUUUUUUUUGUUAAAGGCUUUCAUUAAUAACAAAAAGAAAAGUAUACAAAGAAGCAAGAUAUUACGAUCAGAACUAGCAACAAGUGCUAAGAGAAAGAAGGAUUCAGAACAAAGAAACCUAAUAAAAAAGAGAAAAACAGAUCCUAACUUCUGCCUUUUUCCAAAACCUUAGAUGGUCCAGCAUUGAAGAAUUGAGAUCCCAUGCUUAAAGCCCAGCUGAUUCAAUGCAUUACACUUGUUUUCCAUAGUGGAAAUAAUGUGCUUUGCUACUAUAACCGGAGAAAGAGAGAGACCAUCAUGGAAACGCCGAUUUCUUUCCCGCCAUAGUUCAUAGAUUGCUCCCUGCCAACCUUGAAGGAGAGCAAGUUUCUUGUACUUGGAUCCUGAAAUUGUUGAUAGCCAAAAAAGGAUAUGAUCCCAUAGAAUCGGAGGAGAUGAGAACCCAAGCCUUUGAGUAAUCAAUCUCCAAACUUCAGCAGAGAAAACACAGUUAAAAAACAGAUGGUUCCGUGAUUCCUGGGCCAUACCACAGAGGAGACAAUCCAACUCAACAUCAAACCCCCAAGAUGACAAACGAUCAAGAGUAGGAUUACGAUUGAGCAUAAACAGCCAUGAGGAGAUAGCAUGUCUUGGAAUGGCAGCCUUAUGCCACAAAAGAGGGGCCCAAAAUCGUUUUGGAUUUGAAAUCCGAAUAGCAUUCCAUACAGCUUUAGAGGAGAAAGACUUGUAAGGAAGACCAUCGAUUGUCCAAAUUGGAGUAUCAUUUGUUGAUGACAUGGUAAUGGUAGAUAUGAAAGAGUGGAGAAGAACUUGUCUCUCUGUUCUAGCGCUUGGGAGAGACCAACCGUUCGCAAUUCGAAGUUCAGCUACAGUUGAAAACAAAGGGAUCCCCAAACGAGUAGGGCCAUCUGAACCAAGAAAAUGAUAAAGAGAGCCAAAGGGAGUCCAUGGAUCCCACCAGAAGAAGGUAGAGUCACCAUUUCCAAUAGUGAUGCUAAGAAAUUUAAGAGCUUUGGGACGAAGCUUAAGUAGUUUUCUAAACACCCAAGAGUAGACAACAUUUUUUUCAUUGAGCGCCCAAAGAGGAGCCGUAGACAAAUACUUACUUCGUAUCCAUGCCACCCAUAAAGAACCAGCUUUAAAAAACAGCAUCCAAAAAAGUUUCAAGCCACAAGUCUCGUUCCAACUACCAAUGUGUUUCAAUCCAAGUCCCCCUUCAGAUUUAGGGAAACAUACAUUAUACCAGGACACUUUUGCACCUGCAGAUAUAUCCAGCUUUCCACGCCAAAGAAAGGAGCUGCACAGGCCAUUGAUCUUCUUAAUAACCUGCUUAGGAAGGAAGAAAGCACUAGUCCAAAAACCGAUAAUUCCCGAGAUAACAGAGGAGAUAAGAGUUAACCGUCCUGCCAAACUCAAAAACUUGAGAGUCCAAGAGUUUAAUGCCAUAGGCGAGUGUUUCUUUAUUUACUACAUAGGCGAAUUGAAUAUUAGGUGUUUACAACAUAAAACAAUAUAUUAUUUGUAUAGAGUAGAAUAUAUGAAAUAUCAUACUUUAUAAACAUUAAUAAUAUAGAUUGUAUGCUCAAACUACAUAAAAUAUUAUUAAGAAAAUAUUACAAAUAUAGAAUAUCAAAUAGAAAAUAUAAUAAAUAUCAAAACUACGACAUUAAGAAAAUAUCAUAGAUGCGAUUUAGACAAAAGCAUAUAUUAAAAAAAAUAAAAAAUAUUAAAUCAUAUAUGAGAAUUACACAAAAAGUUCUUAUAAUCUAUAUAUAUAAUGAGAGAGUUUUCUCUCCAUUUAGGCUAUCCACAUCAUCAUCCACAUAAGCAACACUAUUUAUUUACAUUAAAAUAAAUUUUAAAUAUUAGUGCAUAUUUAUGUUACUUAUAAUUAAUAGAAAAAUUAAAUAAACAAAAAUCUAUAUAUAUAAUGAGAGAGUUUUCUCUCCAUUUAGGCUAUCCACAUAAUCAUCCACAUAAGCAACACUAUUUAUUUACAUUAAAAUAAAUUUUAAAUAUUAGUGCAUAUUUAUGUUACUUAUAAUUAAUAGAAAAAUUAAAUAAACAAAAAUCUAUAUAUAUAAUGAGAGAGUUUUCUCUCCAUUUAGGCUAUCCAUAUCAUCAUCCACAUAAGCAACACUAUUUAUUUACAUUAAAAUAAAUUUUAAAUAUUAGUGCAUAUUUAUGUUAUUAUAAUUAAUAGAAAAAUUAAAUAAACAAAAAAUGAAUUAUGUAAAAUAUAUAAGAUGUUAAAAUAAUAAAAAGAAUACUAUAAAUUUUUUUAUUAGUAGUAAUAAAAUAAUUCAACUUUUAACAGAUUAAAAUGAAAAAUGAUCAUACUUCAAAUUCUUAAAUAUAUUAAUGAUUUUUUGAAUGGAAGUAAAUUUAAAUGCAUGUUAGAAUAUAUUUAUGUUACUUAUAAUUAAUAGAAAAAUUAGAUAAACAAAAAAUGAAUUAUGUAAAAUAUAUAAGAUGUUAAAAUAAUAAAAAGAAUACUAUAAAUUUUUUUAUUAGUAGUAAUAAAAUAAUUCAACUUUUAACAGAUAAAAAUGAAAAAUGAUCAUACUUCAAAUUCUUAAAUAUAUUAAUGAGUUUUUGAAUGGAAGUAAAUUUAAAUGCAUGGUAGAAUAAAACUAAAUUUAAGUAAUUUUAUAUGUAAAAUUUUAAACAAGGAAAUAAAAUUUAAAGUAAAACAUUAGUUUUUAAGAACAAUAUAGUACAUAUUUUUAUUUAUUAUUAAAUUUUUACUUUAAAAAUAAAAAAUUAUUAAAUUCAAUUUAAAUUUAUAAUUUAAGACGAAGAUAUUGUAAGUCUCACACUUUAUCUUGUGAAGUUAAAAAAAAAAUUUAAAAAUUUAAACAUUAUCAUCCCUCUUUAUAAGAAUAAAUAAUAUAUAAAAAAUGAUAUGUAAGCCGUUAAAAAAAAUGUGAUAUGUAAUUUGUGUAGCAUAUUCUCAACUGAAACUAUAACUUUAUAACAUUAUCAAAAAGAAAAAGAAGUUUGAUAUUUCAUCAAUUGAAUCAAAUGCUUUUGACCCAAAAAUUUGAGUAUUGAAAGAUAAGAAUUAAGGAGAAAAUAGUUAUGAUACGUCUUGAAAAUCAAAUCACUGUUCAAUAUAUAUUAUAUGUGAGUUAAUUAGAGGAGAAAAAAGUAGAUGUCGAGAAGCAACGAGUUUAUCAUAGAAGAUGACGAAAGAAUUGGUAGUUAAAAGUGUGUGGAAAUAAAUUUCUAAACUUAGAAAGAUAAUGCACAUGACUAAGAUAAAAUCUUUGAAAUCUCAUUCAUUGUGUGAAACGACGAAUAAGUUAUUAGAAAAAUACAUGACAUAAUUUUUUAAACAGAUUAUUAGAUUCAAAGUUGGACUUUACGGUUUGGCCAUGUAAUCAUGGAAAGUGAGAUAAUAUAGACACAUUGAUGACUUAAUCGAGAUUUAUCUAAUGGUUCGAUACACUUGCUUUAAUGGGUAAAACAAGUUCGUUAAAACUGUUCUAGCAUCAUGGUAUUAUAGAUGUACCUUUGGACUAAAUAAUAUUCAUAAAACACGGUAUAUCGGUAUAUUCACAUUUUAUGUGGAAUGAUGUUAUGUUCGGUCAAUAUUUAAUCAUAAAUAAUAUCUACAAUUAGGUCAACAAUCGAUAAUUAACAUCAAAAAUUUUUUAAAAAAUGUUUUCAUGGAAUAUGAAUAAGAAAGAAACUCUUUUAGAGAUUAGAUAAAGGAUCAUUAGAUGGUCAUCGAUGUCAUUUAUUGUUCUCGCGAAUUUCUUAAGUGAUCUUUGUUACCACGUGAUAUAUAUCAAACCAUUUAUUUAUCACAGAAACAUUAUCGUCGGCAAUAUAUAUGUUGUAUAUCGCUUAUUAUAUUUAUGCUCAAAUAUUUAUCUUUUAAAUUUUAAUAAUUAUAUUUUAUGUUAAAAAAUUUAUAUUAAUAAAAGAGCUUUUAAAUCAAAAUCUAGUGUUUACAUAACGGGGAACUCUUCAUCCAUUUAUCUUUGUUACUAUUCAGUCUUUGAUUAAUUUAAGAUUUGCAAUGAGUUGGAUUUGAUGACCAAUUAAAAACCAUUUUUAGCUAGUUUAAUUAUUUUGUAUAAAUUAAUAUUUUUUACUAUUCUUCUUAAACCCUGCUAUCAUUAGUGACCAAUUACCUAGAAAGAGUUAUGAAAUGUAAAAACUAUAUACUACUUUAAGUAAAAUUUAUAAAUUAUGUCGUAAAUUUAUCAAUAAUUAUGUUAACCAAAUUUUUUUAAUAAUUAAUUAGCAAUGGAAAUUUGUUCAACAGAAAGUUAUUAUCUCAUCAAUAUUAUGUUGCAACGAUAUAACUAAUGGAAAAUUUGACCACAUGUAAAUUUGGGGUGCUUUGCUUGCUACCUAUAAAUUGACGAGAGGUAAUGUAAGUAUAACUUUUUUGUUAAAUUGUAUAAUGCGUUUUUAUUAAAUAUUUUAAUAACUUUUACUUUAUACUGUUUUAACCAUUAAAAUAUCAACAAUCGAUUUUUUGUUAAAUUUUUUCAUUUGUUUCUAAUCGCACCAUCUUUUUUUUUUUUCGAUAACCCAGGUGUCCGGUCCCACCGAAUUGGCCUGACUAGCGUCGUGUCCAAGCGGAACAGACGUGGUCCUGGAAGUCUGCAGCCGCCAUGUGAAUUCCGCAGUGGCCAGGAAUCGAACCCAGGUGGCGAUACCCCCAACUGGAGACCCUUUACCACUAGGAAACAACUCCUGGUUUAAUCGCACCAUUUCCUUUACUAAAGUAUCUCUUACCGAUCACUUAAACUUAAUCAUCCAUCAUAGUCACGACUCAUUAUAUAACUAUGAUGAUAGUUUCGUUGAAAAUAGUAUCAUGCACACAAAUAGAGAUGCAUAUCUAUAGAAUAUUCGUCUGUAGUUGCUUCAGAAGGCAGCACAUGGAUGGACAUGUUGUAACAAAAGGCUAAUUACGGGUUAAUUAUUCCACUUUGCAUUUUUUUUUGUUGUUGUUACCUUCAAAAACUACUAACAAAAUGUAUCACUUUACACGCCAUCUUCAUCUUUUAGAGGCGGCUUUUAAAUUAUAAAAACAAUUAAAGAGUCAAAUGAAAAAGUAGAUAUAUAACAAUAAUAUACUACCAUAAGCUUAAACACAUUAAAAAAGUCCUGUGACAAAUUACAGCACUAAGAACAUACAAAUGAUGCUAAAUCAUUGCUCUCUAAUCACAUACUUUAUUAUAUAUACUACAUCAAAUAUAAUCAAUUGCUCAAAUAAAUAGUAGUCUAACAAUAACUUUCUUUGUUCAUCCAUAAAUUUUAAAUUUCAACAAAAUAAUGUAUAUAUAUAUAUAUAUAUAUAUAUAUAUAUAUAUAUAUAUAUAUAUAUAUAUAUAUAUAUUCUAACGGCCACAACUUAUUAUAGGUAACAAGCCUAGAUUUUGUAUCCGCGCGUUGCGCGUGAUUUUGAUUUAAAAGCUAUUUUAUUAAUAUAAAAUUUUCAACAUAAAAUAUAAUUAUUAAAAUUUAAAAGAUAAAUAUUUGAGCAUAAAUAUAAUAAGCGAUAUACAACAUAUAUAUUGUCGACGAUAAUGUUUCUGUGACAAAUCAAUGGUUUGAUAUAUAUCACGUGGUAACAAAGAUCACUUAAGAAAUUCGCGAGAAGAAUAAAUGACAUCGAUGACCAUCUAAUGAUCCUUUAUCUAAUCUCUAAAAGAGUUUCUUUCUUAUUCAUAUUCUAUGAAAACAUUUUUUAAAAAGUUUUGAUGUUAAUUAUCGAUUGUUGACCUAAUUGUAGAUAUUAUUUAUGAUUAAAUAUUGACCGAACAUAACAUCAUUCCACAUAAAAUGUGAAUAUACCGAUAUACCGAGUUUUAUGAAUAUUAUUUAGUCCAAAGGUACAUCUAUAAUACUUUGUCCAAAAAAAAAAAAAAAGGGUACAUCUAUAAUACAUGCUGCUAGAACAGUUUUAGCGAACUUGUUUUACCCAUCAAAGCAAGUGUAGCGAACCAUUAGAUAAUUCUCGAUUAAGUCAUCAAUGUGUCUAUAUUAUCUCACUUUCCAUGAUUACAUGACCAAACGGUAAAGUCCAACUUUGAAUCUAAUAAUCUGUUUAAAAAAGUAUGUCAUGUAUUUUUCUAAUAACUCAUUCGUUUCACACAAUGAAUGAGAUUUCAAAGAUUUUACCUUAGUCAUGUGCAUUAUCUUGCUAAGUUUAGAAAUUUAUUUCCACACACUUUUAACUACCAAUUCUUUCGUCAUCUUCUAUGAUAAACUCGUUGCUUCUCGACAUCUACUUUUUUCUCCUUUAAUUAACUCACAUAUAAUAUAUAUUGAACUGUGAUUUAAUUUUUAAGACGUAUCAUAACUAUUUUCUCCUUAAUUCUUAUCUUUCAAUACUCAAUUUUUUGGGUCAAAAGCAUUUGAUUCAAUUGAUGAAAUAUCAAACUUCUUUUUCUUUUUGAUAAUGUUAUAAAGUUAUAGUUUCACUUGAAAAUAUGCUACACAAAUUACAUAUCACAUUUUUUUUAACGGCUUACAUAUCAUUUUUUAUAUGUUUUGUUGUAGAACUAAUGAAUAUGUGAUCAUUGAUUAUUUAUUCUUAUAAAGAUGGAUGAUAAUGUUUAAAUUUUUAAAUUUUUGGUUUAACUUCACAAGAUAAAGUGUGAGACUUACAAUAUCUUCGUCUUAAAUUAUAAAUUUAAAUUCAAUUUAAUAAUUUUUCAUGUUUAAAGUAAAAAUUUAAUAAUAAAUAAAAAUAUGUACUAUAUUGUUCUUAAAAACUAAUGUUUUAUUUUAAAUUUUAUUUCCUUGUAUAAAAUUAUAUAUAUAUAUAAUUACUUAAAUUUAGUUUUAUUCUACCAUGCAUUUAAGUUUACUUCCAUUCAAAAACUCAUUAAUAUAUUAAAAAAUUUGAAGUAUGAUCAUUUUUCAUUUUUAUCUGUUAAAAGUUUAAUUAUUUUAUUACUACUAAUAAAAAAAUUUAUAGUAUUCUUUUUAUUAUUUUAACAUCUUCUAUAUUUUACAUAAUUCAUCUUUAGUUUUAGAGGCGGCUUACACGCCCAUCUUCAUCUUUUAGAGGCGGCUUUUAAAUUAUAAAAACAAUUAAAGAGUCAAAUAAAAAAAGUAGAUAUAUAACAAUAAUAUACUACCAUAAGCUUAAACACAUUAAAAAAAGUCAUGUGACAAAUUACAGCACUAAGAGCAUACAAAUGAUGCUAAAUCAUUGCUCUCUAAUCACAUACUUUAUUAUAUAUACUACAUCAAAUAUAAUCAAUUGCUCAAAUAAAUAGUAGUCUAACAAUAACCUCCUUUGUUCAUCCAUAAAUUUUAAAUUUCAACAAAAUAAUGUAUAUAUAUUCUAACGGCCACAACUUAUUCAUAUAUAUGAAAGGUACAAUCGAUUAAAAUUAAAAUUUUAUUUGAAGUAAUGACAAAAAAAAAUUCAAACCAAUAUACUGAAAACAAUAUGUGCGCAUAUAUGUCUCUUGUCUCUUUUCUAAGGACAGAUUGAAUUACCCAUUUGUCUGUGGUUAAAAAAAAAUGCAAAUUAAAGUUUUAUAGACAGUGAUUCACAUUUUACAUCACAAUUAAGAAGAAAAUGUGUAUAUCUUUUUUUUUUUUGAAUGUAAUGUUAAACUACAUUCAAAGGAAAAAUAACGUUUUUACAGCUAGUGCAACGGUUUAUCGAAAUAAAAAGCUAAGAAUUUUCUAAAUUUGAACAAUUUGAAAGAUUGAAAAGAAUCAACUAUGUGCUUUGAGCCAGACUUGAAAGGCUGCGUCAUACCGUCGAUCUCCCAUACGUCGAAUGGUGGUUAUUUGAUUUGUCACUUGUUUAUCUGCCCAGCCGAUCAAUUGAGCUGAAGAAUUCGGUGCUUCUCCAUGCCGUCAUCCAUUCCUCUCUCUCCAAACAGUAUAGAUAGUGGCUUGGAAAAGAUACCGGAUUAAGAAACCUUCUAUUCGAUUUAGAGAUGCAUCCGAGGUGUGAGCCAAAAUCUGUGACCAGCCCGUUGUGUAUCUGGUUUUCCACAAACUCUUAGUAAGCGCAGCCCAUAUGGUAGAGACAUAGCUACAAGAGAAGAACAAGUGAUCGCGAGUCUCCAUGUUGUUCGUACAAAAAACACAGUUACCCGUAGCACUCCCUUUCCAUUUAACCAUUCGCUCUCCAGUUGAUAGUCUAUCUUGAAUCGGAAGCCAAGAACAAAAUGAGUACUUGGGUGUGGCAUGAGAGAACCACACCCCCUUAUGCCAAGGGACCAUGAGUGAAGUAGCUCUUAUAUAGUUCCAAGUAUCCUUCGUAGAGAAGUUUUCUUUGAACACAUUAUUUUAACCUUUCCAUAGUGCAAUAUCAUCAGCCUCUUUGCGUUUCUGCCUAUGUAUAACUAACACCUCUUCGAUCUCAUUUAAGUGAGCCAUUCGGUGUUUUUUUCGUCGUCUCCCUGUCCACCAGUGAUGACUCUUUACUUAUACCAAGAUCGAUAACUCCCCUCUCGCCUGCAACAUCAAUUAAUCUCCCAAGAGUUGACCAAUUAUCAAACCAGAAGGAUACCGACUGCCCAUUUCCCACAUCAACUUUGCUAAAGGAUUUAGCUAUUUCUCUGUAUUUUAGAAUUUUUUUCCAUAUCCACGAUCCAAUGCUUGUGUUCUGUUUUACAGUCCAAAACGACUUUCUCCAUAGCAGGUAUGUAUCCACCCAUUUGACCCAUAGAGAUGUGCUAUUUGAGAUGAUUCUCCAAAUCAACUUCAAGCAACACACAUCAUUUGCCUCUUUCAAAUUUCGUAAACCCAGGCCCCCCACUGUUUUUGGUUUACACACAUUUCCCCAAGAUAUUUUUGCCUUCUUUGAACUCAUUUCAGUGCCUGACCAAAGGAAAGUAGAGCAAAGCUUGUCUAUCUCCCGAAUGCAUUGGCGAGGAAGACGGAAAGCAGCCAGCCAAAAAUUACAGAUACUCCAAAGAACCGAAUUAAUCAAGUUGAACCGACCUGCAAAAGAGAGGUAGCAUGAUGUCCAAGAAGAAAUGCGUUUUUUUAUCUGUUCAAUGAGAGGAGAGUAGUCCGCAGUCGUGAGUCUUUUGGUUACCAGAGGUAGGCCUAAAUAUCUGACAGCUAAUUGACCAACAUCGAAUGGAAAUUUGGAUGAUAUCUCUUGUCUUACUUGCGGUGGAACUCCAACCAUAUACAAUGUCGAUUUCUCUAUGCUUAUCUUUAAACAAGACCGCUUGUAAAACUCAUCAAAAACCUCCACUAUGCCCUCCAUAGAUCAAACUUUAACAUCAGACAGAACCAUUAAGUCAUCGGCAAAGCUUAAGUGUGUCAAGCCUAGUCGUUUGCAGUUGGGAUGGAAACCAAAGCGUCGCGCACCCACUACCUUAUCUAGCAUCUUAGAUAAAACGUCCAUGCUUAUUACAAACAAAUAAGGCGAUAAGGAGCAUCCUUGACGAAGUCCCCUUGCACUUUGAAAAUAACCUGCAAGAUCUCCAUUAACCUGAACCGAGAACGAGGCCGUAGUAAUACAAAGCUUUAUCCAAUGUAUGAAAGUCGCACGGAAGUUCAUAGCCACCAGAACGUUGACAAGAAAGGGCCAUUGGACCGAGUCAAAAGCUUUUGAAAUAUCAAUCUUUAUGGCGCAACGGCUAGAGAUCGAGUCUUUAUGGUAGUCCUUUACUAGUUCUGUUGCAAGUAACAAAUUCUCAAUGAGUAACCUGUCCUUGACAAAUGCAGACUGAUUUUCCGCAAUGAAUUUUGGUAGCAUCAGUUUUAAUCUAUUCGUAAGAAUCUUCGAGAUAACCUUGUAGAUUACAUUGCAGCAUGAGAUAGGUCGGUAGUCUCUCAUUUCCUUGGCUUCAAGAUUUUUUUGAAUUAGGGCAAGAAUGGUAGAGUUUAUACCUUUAGGUAAAAAACCUUUUACAAAAAAAGAUUAAAUCGCCAAGAUGAAUUCAUUGCCUAUUAUAUCCCAUGUCGCCUCGUAAAACUCUGAAGUAUAACCGUCUGGGCAUGGGGAUUUAUCAUUCGGCAUAGAAAAUAAAACCUUCUUUACUUCCUCUGCCGUGACCUCCCGCAUAAGAAACUCUUGAUCUGUAUGAGAACAACGAAAAUAUAGUAAAUCUUGGAUCUCACUAACCUCUAUUCCCACAUAAUCUUCUGGAAUAAACUGCAAGAAUUCUUUAAAGAAUCUUUCAGCUUCCUUUAUAAUUGUUUCCCCUUUUAACACACUACCAUCAGAACCUUGUAUUUCCUUGACCUGAUUUUUUGCUUCCCUUGCUACCACAGCCCUAUGAAAAGUCUUAUUGUUUUUAUCCCCCACCUGCAUCCAGUGCAACUUCGAUUUUUUCUUUAAAUAUUUCUCUUCAAGUCCAGCCACAAAAUCCCAUCGAAUAUAAGCCACAUUCUCUGCUUCCAUGGAAUGCGUUGACGGGUUAGAUAAGUUCUCCUCCUGUUUUUGACAUAGGGUGUCAUAAGCUUCCUUUGAUUUUUUCACCAGAUUUCCCAUACCUUCCUUAGCAAGUGCCCUUAUCUUGGGCUUAAGUCCUUUUAAAUUCUUGGUGAAGCGGAACAGUGUUGAGGUAGCUAAAAAUAAAGGCUAUGUUUCCCUCCAAAAGCUAUCAAUCAUUGGCUUGAACUCCUCCAUUUCUGGAAGAACAUUGACAAACUUAAAAGGUCUCUUACUUUUCACAUUACCUCCUUCUCCUCCCCUUAGGUUUAUUCGUCCCCGCAAAUGAUCCGAACAUCCUCCAGCCUCAAAAACAGUAUAAGAUUGCGAAAACGCUUGCAUCCAAAUGUCAUUAACCAACACGCGGUCCAGUUUUUUCAAAAUGAGAUCAUUUUCUCUCUUGUUACACCAAGUAUACAACGGACCAUGAGAAGUCAUAUCUGUGAUAGAGCAGUAGCUUAUUAUCUCCUGAAAAUCUUUCAUACUAGAGGUAACCACAGGGUAUGCUUCCGCCUUUGAGUGUUCUUAUAUGUCUAGAGUUUCAUUAAAAUCCCCAAAUAUUAGCCAUGGUUUUUUCUUGAUAAUGGGAGAAUCAAAAUGAUCCUUCAACUCCUGCCAUAGUAUCUUUCGCUCUUCCACUAUGUUAGACGCAUAGACAAAAGAGCAAAAGAAUUUUUUUUCUUGAUCCUCUAGCUUUACUGAACAUGUUAUUACCUGAGCACUUUUGUAGAAAGGACUCAAUCUCACACUACUUCGCCACAAUACCCAAAUGCGACCCCUUUGAUUAUAUUCAUAAUUCGUUAACACCGACCAAUCUUUAAACAACUUGCUACCCAAUCUCUGAGCUUUCUUUUCCUUAACUCGUGUCUCCAACAAGCACCCGAACUGAAAAUUAGAUUCCUCCACCCACUUUUUUAUUACAGAAUGUUUUAAUGUUUUAUUCAAGCCCCAAACAUUCCAAAAGAAACUCGACAUUAACAACGCUUUGGGGGUGGUUUCCUGUUCUGAAUCUUAGGGAGAUCCCUUGUUGAUUGAGAAUAGUUGUUGGAUAUCACCUUAUGAGCAGAUUUUGAUUCUCUAGGUAGAGAUGGUCUCAAGAGCACCUCUUUACCUCCUCGAGUUUUGGUCACCAUCUCCGCAAACUCCGCAGUCUCAUUUCGCUCCACUAGCUCAGGUGGUAUAUUGAGUAGCUAUAUAAUGGAUAUUCAAGGUUAUCUUACAUCAUCUUAAAUCAUCCGUACUAAAAUUAAAAUUAGGUAUACACUAUACAGAAUCAUUGAAUAUAACUAUAUACGUCUUUUAUGUUAUCAAAAACUGAAGUAUAUAUGUACUACUACUUUUAAUUAUUUUGGAAGACUUAAAUAAAGUUAAUGUUGCAUAGGUCAGAAAUUUCGCUUAAAUUCGGUGGAAAUUUUGAGAGCCAUUGAUUUUGUCUGUGCUGUAUUAUAUGCUUUUUUACACAUAUAUAAUGUAAUAUAAUAUUUGUGUGGCCGAUGAGAAAACUAGCCUUGACCUGUGUGACAAUUGGCAUGUUUCUUGAUGUUUUAGUCUAAUUCAAUGUACCAAAAAAAAUUCCUAAUUGCAAAAAUAAAAAUGCAAACCCUAAAAGAUAUGUUAUAGAUAGUAGACAAAACUUAUUUCAUAGUUUUUUUUUCUUGUAUUACAAAGAAUUAUCUGAGAGAAUUUGUUGAAAAGAUUUUUUUAUUAAGAAUCAAAAGUAACUUUACAUGCUAUUUAUAAACAAGUAAACCGUAAACUAUUUACAGUAUUGAACCGGAACAAUUAGAACCGGUAUACUAAACCAAUAGUCCCCCUCAAGAUGAGCAGAAUAUGUUUUGAAGGCUCAUCUUGGAUUUAAGGUGUUCAAAUUGAUGAGGAAAUAACGGUUUAGUCAAGAUAUCAGCCACCUGAUCUUCGGUCCAUACAUGAAGAGUCUUAAGAAGGCCUUGAUCCAAGCGAUCCCGAACCGUGUGGCAAUCAAUCUCUAUGUGUUUGGUACGCUCGUGGAACACGGGAUUAGUAGCAAUGUAUAUGGCGGCUGUGCUGUCAGAAAAGAGAAUUGGAACUGCAGAAGAAGCAACUCUCAAGUCUUUGAGCAGUCUAUGUAGCCAAACCAAUUCACAGGAAGCAAGAGCAAGAGCACGAUACUCUGCUUCAGCUGAAGACCGAAAAACAACUGGUUGUUUCUUGGAGCGCCAAGAGAUUAAAGAAUCUCCAAUAAACAUGCUGAAACCAGUAGUAGAACGCCUACUAUCAGGACAUGUUCCCCAAUCUGAGUCAGCAAAACCACUAAGAGUGAGAUCCUCUGUAGCUGAGUAGAAGAGACCUUGGCCAACAGUGCCUUUGAUGUACUGAAGGACCCUGUAUACUGCAGCAAGGUGGGAUGUACGAGGAGCAGAAGAAAACUGACAUAACUUAUUAACUACAAAAGUUAUGUCAGGUCUUGUGAUAGUCAAGUACAUGAGUUUUCCCACAAUGCGUCUAUACAUUUCUCUGUCAUCAAGCAAAUCACCAUCCUCUUUGGAAAGUCUCAAAUUAGGCACCAUAGGGACAGAGACAGGUUUACAACCUAACAUACCUGUAGAGGUUAAGAGCUCCAAGGCAUAUUUUCGCUGACAUAAUGAGAUUCCUUCAUCAUUCCUGGCAACUUCAAGACCUAAGAAAUAUUUCAAUGGUCCUAAGUCUCUGAGUUUGAAGCAUUCCUUUAAUGUAGCAGUCAAAGAUGAAGCAGCUUCAUUACUAGUGCUGGCAAUCACAAUGUCAUCUACAUACACCAAUACUGCAACAAACUCAGCACCAAUACCUUUGACAAAAAGAGUGUGAUCUCCAUGAGCCUUAAUAAAACCCAAAACAAGUAAUGAUUCAGAGAAUUUCUUGAACCACUGACGGGAUGCUUGUUUCAGACCGUAUAUAGACUUCUUGAGACGACAAACUGCAUUAGGAGGCAAAGAGUCCCCCUUCCUUGCAGCAUAACCCUCUGGCAGUUUCAUAAAAAUUUGUUCUUCCAAUUCACCAUUAAGAAAAGCAUUAGAAACAUCAAGUUGAGUCAAAUACCAUUUCUUUGAAGCUGAUACUUUUAACAAGAGUUUCACUGUGGCCAUUUUAGCCACUGGUGAAAAAGUAUUUGUGUAGUCUAGGCCCUCCUUUUGACUAUAGCCCUUUGCGACCAAUCGUGCCUUAUAUCUCUCCAAGGUACCAUCAGCAUGAAAUUUCAACGUGAACACCCACUUACAUCCCACUGCUUUCUUUCCCGGAGGUAGUGAUGUGAUUUCCCAUGUCUCUGUAGAUUCCAUUCCACCAAUCUCCUUAUCCACAGCUUCACACAUUUCCUUUGAAUUCUGAGCCUCAUAAAAUGAUUGAGGAAUAGGUAUUUGUGUAAUGCUAUUGAUAUAAGCAAGAUGAGAUGGAGAAAUUUUAGAGUAAGAGAGAGAAGAGGAAAUAGGAUGAUUUAUGUUGUGUUGUGUAGAAUAACAGUGAUAAUCCUGUAAAUGAGCAGGAGGUUUUCUGUUUCUAGAUGGAGAAAUUUCUGGUGGUAGAGAAGGAGAAGAUGGAGAAAUUUGUGGAGGAAUGAUACCUGGAAGCUCAGAAUUCAAAGGUGUAAAGAAAUCCAAAGGCGCCUCUGAAACAGUAUUCUUGGCCAAAGGAAAAAUUUCUUCAUGAAACACCACAUUCCUGGAGAUAAAAAUCUUAUGUGAUUCCAAAUCUAGCAACUUAUAUCCCUUGACACCAACCGGAUAACCCAGAAACACACAUGCUCUUGAUCUUGGUUGAAACUUAUGUCGUUGAUGAGGUGAUGUUGAUCCAUAACAAAGACAACCAAAAGUUUUGAGCUGACUGUAGUCUGGUGGCUUACCCGUGAGAAGCUCAUAAGGAGUUUUGUUUGAGAGAAGCUGUGAUGGAGUUCUAUUAAUGAGAAACACAUCAGUCAAAACACAACCUCCCCAAUAAGAUAAAGAAAUUUGAGACUGAAACAACAGAGCCCUUGCCACAUUCAAUAUAUGUUGGUGUUUGCGCUCGACGACUGAGUUCUGUUCCGGGGUUUCUGGACAUGAAUGAUAAGAAACAAUGCCCUUUUCUUGAUAAAACUUUGAAAAUUUCAAUUCAGGAGCGUUGUCUGAUCUUACUGCCUUAACCCGCAAAUUAAACUGAUUCUCAACCAUUGCAACAAAAGCAGGGAAAACUGAAAUCACUUCAUUUUUAGUUUUGAGAAGAUAAAUCCAGGUAGCACGAGAAUGAUCAUCCACAAUUGUCAAAAAAUAUCUAUAACCUUCAACUGUAUCCACUGAAAAUGGUCCCCAGACAUCAAUAUGUAGCAACUCAAAGAUAUCUUUACAAAUAUUGUUUUGAGAUGUAAAAGAUAACUUCUUCUGUUUAGCCAAAUGACAGAUAUGGCAAUAAGCUACUCCUUUAUUCUUGUGUCUAGUAGUCCCCAAAACUGUAGAGAUUGUAUCCAAACGAGAGUAAGAAGCAUGUCCAAGUCUGUUGUGCCAAACACCAACAUCCACCACUGCAUUCACAGAGACUGAUGAAUCCAAAGGAGCUUCAGUGUCCAACACAUACAGGUUUGCAACUCUCCUACCUCUGCCAAUUAUUAAUUCCUUGGUAGGAUCCUGAAUGGUACAAGAAUGGGGAUCAAAAAUUAUGCGGGAACCAAGAGUAUCAGUAAGAGAGCUAAUACUGAUUAAAUUCAAUCUGAACUCCGGAAUGAAUAGAACAUUCUUCAAAUAAAUUUCCUUAUUUAUCUGAAGAGUCCCCACACCACUGAUUCUGAUAGUUGGUCCCGUAGGUAAAUUCACAGCACUGACAAUAGAUGUAUCCAGAGAAUCAAACAUUGAUUUAUCAUGGCACACAUGAUGUGUUGCACUAGAAUCAAUGAUCCAAGAUUCAUUGGAGAGAGUAUGUCUAGAUACUGUAAGUAUGCCAACAAAACAGUAAGUGGAGGAAGAAAAGGAGAUACCAGAGGGAGCAAUAUCAGACUGAGAAGAACUAGCUUCAUUUGUGACUGACUGAUUCUGAAGUUGAGAGCUCAUCAAAGCAAUAAACUGUUGCAACUGAUCUUUGGAAAGAUGACCAACUAAGCUAGCCAAGUUAGUUGGUUGAGAUUCAGGGAGAGGUGACAAAGCAACUUGAGCAGCUACAGGUUGUGGUUUCUGAGAUUUAUCUGGAAAUUUGCCUUUGGGAGUGAAUCCAGGAGGGAAACCAUGUUUCUUGUAGCAUCGUUCCGCUAUAUGACCAACCCUGUAACAGUAAGAACAUAUGGGACGUCCUUUGUUAGGGCCAGAAGUAACAUAGCAGACAGUUGGUUCACCCAGAGCAGAGGGAGGAGUACUUUCAGAUACUUGAAAUGCAGCAGGAGGAGUAGUAACAUUGGAGAAACCUCUCUGACUGUCAUCUUGGUCAAGGAUAUUGUACACCUCUGCAAGACUAGGAAGAACCUUCUUCAUGAUAAUCUGUUUACGGAUGAUAGAGUAAGACUCAUUGAGGCCUACAAGGAACUUAACAAGUUUAGCUCUCUCUGCCUUCAGUUGCAGACGAGAAGCUUUACCACAAGUACAAGGAGCAUCAGGCUCAUCUGUACUAUCAAGAUUAUCCCACAGAGUUUUCAAUUUUGUAUAGUAAUCAGAGAGAGACAUAGAUCCUUGACGUAGAUCUUGAAUCUCCUGAGUGAGAUUGAAAGUCCGGGGAAGAUUUGUGAGAUGAAAACGACCAUAUAAAUCUUUCCAGAUAUCAGCAGCAUCAUUCAGACGUAAGAUGCUACGAUAAAUUUGAGGGGAAACAGAAUUUAACAGCCAUGACUUUACCAUACUAUUGCAGCGUGACCAAAGACGAAAGAGAGGAUCAGAUUCAAGAGGACGAAGCAGAGUACCAUCGAUAAAUCCAAUCUUAUUCUUAGCAUCUAAGGAAAUCAGCAUCGCAGCACUCCAAUCAUCAUAGUUUGUACCAUCUAAGCGAAGAGAAACGAUCGACAAACCUGGAUGAUCGGCGUUGUGCAUAUAGAACAGAGAGUGACUUGGAUCGGAAGGAACCGACAUCGCUUCAGCUCGCGAAGCUCCAGAAGACUGAGAAACAGCUACCGGAGGAGUAUUCGGAGGAGAAACAGCAACGACGGUCGAUCUAGUCCUUUUUCCAGCUGGAUUCGAAGGAGAAUCCGAUGUAGUCUUCGAUCGCAACGAUCGGCAAACCACAGUCUUCUUAAUCACCAUCCUUGAGCAGAAAAUGAUCGAUACAAGAGCUCAGAUCGAGUUCGAUGAUGGCGAAAAUGUCAGAUCUGAGAUUUAGAUCUGAGAUUUGGAUAGCUCUGAUACCAUAUUACAAAGAAUUAUCUGAGAGAAUUUGUUGAAAAGAUUUUCUCAUUAAGAAUCAAAAGUAACUUUACAUGCUAUUUAUAAACAAGUAAAUCGUAAACUAUUUACAGUAUUGAACCGGAACAAUUAGAACCGGUAUACUAAACCAAUAUCUUGAGUAUAUCUAAACCAAAUAAAAAUUAAUAGAGUGACCAAUAUAUUUUAUAUUAGAAAAAAAUUAUAUAAAAAGCCUACAACUUACACAUUUUGGUCCCAAAAAAACAACAAAAAAUUUACCCAUAACUAGAUAAAUGUUCAACUUUGCAUUAUGUAUGUUAGUCGGAGCAAUCCAAACGUCAGCCAAACUUAACAGAGUGUUAAGUUGAGUUUAUUCGAUCCGCCAAAUCUCAAUCUAGCCAAAACGAGCAAGUUAAAUACGCACACCGAGUAAAUUUUUCUCGAAGCACUAGCUAGCCACAUUAUUAAUUAUAAAUUACUAAACUUUGAUUGUAAUCACAACAACAAGAAAACAUUAGUAUCAAGUUCAUUUGGUUCAAUCCGUUCAAUGAUAAGCACAAAAAAAUAUGCUAAAAGCUACUUAAAAAAAAACACAUCAUGAUACAUGCGCUAAGUUUUAAGGAAAAGUAAGAAAUGAAGUGAUCAUUUUAAGAAAAUUUUACAAAGUAAACACAAUAAAGCUGCAGUGCUUAACCAUCUUAAAAAUCUGUUUUGGGUUCGAAAAUGGGUACAAGUGGGAUACACAUUGAAUGGUAAUGUGAUUUAUUUCCAAUUCAUAUUAAUUUUUCUGUUGUGACAAAAGGGAUACACACUUUGCUUUCAGUUAUGUUAACAAUUCAUUGGUAAAGUAUUAUGUUACAUCUUUUUUAAUUUUAAAACAUGUAAAGUUGGGAUUUUGUGCGUGUGUGUGUGGAUCUCUAACUUUCAAAUAAGAUCACAUGCCAAAAAGCUGUUGAAAAUAAGAACAGAAAAAAGGUUCAACAAACUAUUCUCUUUUUCCUCUCCUAAUUCAGACUCUAAUUGGUUUCUUUUGAGAAAUAGAGAUUUUAUUAAGACAAAGAAUACAUUCUUGAACAAGUGUAACAACCCUUGAAUCCUAUGAAACUAAAUCUUAUUAUUAAACCUCAUGUCUUUAAAAAAUAUUCAAAUUUUUGGAUUUGAGACUUCACUUGUUCUUACUAACCUCUAAAAAUAUCGAGUUCAUGUAUAUUACGAAUUGAGUUGCUAUUUAUUCAUUUAAUAAAUUUUAGUUGCAUAUUCCUAGACGUUACCUUUAAUAAAACACCUCUUUCUAGCGUUUGUGGCAUUAUUUCCCAAAUCAGCAUCACAUGCGUUUGUUCUGAGACCAAUUUAUUUUAGGGAAAAUGUGAUCUAAAUAUGACAGAGACAAGCAAUAAAAAUGUAUUUUAACUUUGGGUGACACGACGAAAUACCCAACCUUUCUAUUUCGCCACUAAGUCAUAGUCUCCCAUCGGUAAAGCAACUCUUUGAUCUUUCUUCUACACAUUAUAUCCAUAUGUACAAAGUUUUGUGUGCACAAUUAUCUUUUUCAUGCAUUCUUAUUAAAUUGAUCAACCAUAAUUCUAGGGAUGUUGAUUGUUUUAAACACCAAACAUUUAUCAUUUGGAACACCUAAAAUACCGAAUGUCUUUUACAUUGAAUAUUAGAAUGAUUCUAUUUUAACAUGAAAUAAUGAAAAAAACUAUACCAAAAAUAUGCAAAAGUUGAAGUAUUAUAAUCAAUUCUUAAUCAUUUAAAUCAAAUUUAUAAUGGUCUCUAAUUGUUGAUAGGAAUGUGAAUAUCAUAUAAUAUGAAGUUUGAGGUUUUACAAAAAGAGUUAACCUAGAGAUUGCAACCAUACCAAAAAAGAAUAAAAAACAGUGGUUACAAAGAUCAGUUGAGUGUCAAUCAACAGUUUAGCAGAUCCAAAGCGCCAUUAGGUUCCUGAAUUUCUUCCAGUGCCUUCUGGCCGAGAUAGUAUUGUGCAGCUCUUUCUCGAUGAGGGAGAAUACUGCAUUUGGAGAGAGAUAGGUUUGGUUGUGGAGAACAUUGUUUCUCUGCUUCCAAAGAUGGUACACUGCUGCUUGGCUUGAAAGCUUCCGAAGGAUUGUAGGAGAAGAAGCGGUAUUCAUCCUAGUCCAAGCAAUUAGCGAUGACCAUGCCCAAGCAUGCUUUCAAUAUGUGGGCAACAGAAUUCCCCAAGAGGCAAGGCGGACUCUUGUUGGCAGCCUCAGCAACUGCGCCACCCACAUAUUGAAAGCAUGCUUGGGCGUGGCUCCUUUAAACCAGAUAGAAGAAGCCCAAUCCUUAGGAGUGUUCCGCGGCCUAGUAGAUUCCCACGUAAUUGCAGUAGGAAACAAGUGGUAAGAAUUACCUUGGACAGUCCAGUUGUACCUAUCAUCACCGGCGUCACUACUAGGCGGAGUGAUUGAUGAAAGAUGGGCGUGGAGAGGCAGGGCAUGGAGAGAUCUGGAUGGAGGCAGAAUCCAGCCGUGCUCGUCACAAGCAUCAGCUAUAGAGCAGUGUGUUGGGAGCCUAAGGAGGCUCGGGCCAUCAUGCCCAAAACGUUUGAUUAAAGGACCAAAAUGGCACCAAGAAUCAAACCAAAAACUUGCGUGCCGACCAUUACCCAAAUUACACUUCACAAAAGUCUCAGCUAGGGGUCUUAAAUUCUAUAAAGACUUCCAGUUCCAAGAAUCAUUCACAGAUGCUUUAAGGGACCAGAAACUUUUUCCUUUUAUAUGAUGGUGAUGAUGCCAUGCCACCCAAAGAGAUCCACUACCUGAAAAAAGCAGCCACACUAGUUUCAAGCAGAGGGUUGAAUUCCAAAUACCCAAGCAGCGCAGACCAAGACCUCCUUCCGUCUUAGGGUAGUAGACAUUAGCCCAAGAAACCCUUAUCCCUUUUGAUUUGUCGAUAGAUCCAGACCAAAGAAAUCUGGCGCAGAGAGAUUCCAUCAUUCUUAUGCAAGCUUUCGGGAGAAUAAAUGUUCUAGUCCAGAAGUUUAUCAGACCGUAAAUUACUGAAUUUAUCAGCACCAACCUUCCAGCGUAAGACAGAGAAGUGGUGGUCCAGCUUUGAAAACGUUGCCUCAGCUUAUCAAUAAGAGGAGAGUACUCCGAGACUCUUAGUUUCCUGCUCAUUAAAGGCAGUCCUAAGUAUCUAAUGGGCAAAGAACCGGUGGUAAAUCCAGAGUUAGUAAUUGCUAAGGAUUCCCAAGGUUCUAAGCCAGCGGUAAAAAUCUGUGUUUUCUCACAGUUCAUUUUCAAACCAGAACAGCUAAACAAAAGUAUCCAAAGCUUCUGCAAUACCUGACAAAGACGAUGAGGAGCCAUCAAAGAAUACCAUAACGUCAUCUGCAAACAUUAAGUGAGUAAUGUCCAGCUCCCUAGUUUUUGGAUGGUGAUUUAUGAAACCAGCAGCGAAGCUUGAUCUCAUUAGUUUGCUGAAAACCUCCAUUGCCAACACAAACAAGUAGGGAGAGAUCGGGUCUCCUUGCCUUAAACCUCGAGAACUUCGAAAAUAACCAGAGGUGAGCCCAUUCACAGAGACAGAAAACUACGGAGUUGAAAUACACUGGAAGAUCCAAUUAGUGAAUUUGACAGGGAAGUUGAGGGCUUUCAUAGCAGCAAUGAUGAAGUCCCAUUUCACAGAAUCGAACGCUUUCCGCAAAUCAACUUUUAGCAUGCCUCUUGGCCCAAUAUUCUUUCUGUUAUAGCCAUUAACCAGUUUUGUAGCCAGCAGGACGUUUUCGGCCAGAAGUCUACCCGGAAGGAAAGCAGAUUGAGCGUUGGAGAUAAUCAGUGGGAGAAGAGAUUUCAGCCUGCCAGCCAAAAGCUUAGAAAUCACUUUAUACACAGUGUUUCACAGAGAUAUUGGUCUGAAAUCUUCUUCUACGAUUUUUUAUGGGGUUAAAGAACCAUGAUACGAGUUCUUCUUCUACGAUUGCAAAUCACACCUCAAAAAAUAGCUUGGAUUAAUUUCGGGAAUACUCUAGUUCAUAUUAAACAUCAUAUGAACUUUUCUAAUUAUGUAUAGAAAACUUAUAAAUCUAAAUAAAUGUAAAUAAAAAUUAAAAAAAUAUAGUCAAAAAAGAAGAAGAUGAUCACUGAUUAAUGACUUAAAUGACCCCCUAGAACCGCAUAGUUCCGCCUAGUAACCAAAACGCUUAAUUCCAACGCUUAGACCAUCUCCAUCGACCGUAUCUAAUGAAAAUAUUCUGUAUUAAAUAAUAUUCAAGAACAGAAAAGUAGGAAAAAGAGUCCAUAAUCGACUCUAGAAUGAGAGACGCUCGUCUCUUGUUUAGAUACUACAAACUGUUUCUCAAAAAAACUUUUUUAUGACACAAAGCAUAUGAAAUGUAGUUUCUUGGACCGGGAUGAUUUGCGGUUAGGCAAGGCGGGAUCUUAUCAAAAAGUUUUCAUCUUCCCAGAGGCUUAAUGAUGUGGAUCUUUUUUUUUGAUAAAAAAAAAUGUGCAUCUUAAACAUGACCAAAUAUGGUAUUCAAUCUUCUUGGAACUACAGUAGAAUCUCUAUAAAUUAAUACUCGAUAAAUUAAUAAACUCGAUAAAAUAAUAAAUUUUUCCGGUCCCGAGUUGGGCCAGUAUACAAAUUAAUCAAAUUCGAUAAGAUAAUAAAAUAAUAAUUUUUUUGAAAUUUCUAUGUAAAAAUAUGGUCCCAAUAAUAUCAUAAAUUCAUAAUCAUAUAAAUAAUAUAUAUAUAUAUAUAUAAAUAGAAUAUUAUAUAGGGUAAUUUACAUAAAUGACCCCAAAAAAAAUUUUCUUCUAAAAAUAGCCCCAUAUUUCAUAAAUUCCAGAAAUAGCACCCAAAAGUUUUAAUUAAACAUUAAUUAAAACAAAAAAUAGAAAAUUUGAGAGACUAACCCUAAACGCCUCUGACGCACCCAAAAGUCUCGUUUUCUCUCAUCUUCGACCGACGAUCUCGUCGCCUCCGCCGGAAUCUCGUCACCUCUGCCGGAAUCUCGAACACCUCUGCCGGAAUCCUUCACGGUUCCUCUCUGUUUCGCCAAUUCUUCACGGUUUCCUCUCUGUUUCGCCAACUCUCGGUUCCUUUUUGUUUCGCCAACCCGAUUUUCACUGAUUCUCCUCUUUUCUCUCUGCUUCAUUGUGUUCUAGGGUUUCCUGUAAGUUCUUAUUAUCUCUUAUUGUAUUUCAAUUUCUCUUCUUUUUUGUGUUUUGAAUCGUCUCCAACGAUUUGGUUUUUGUGGGUCUUUUACAAAAAGUAGAAUCCUUUUGUUUUUAAACUUCCUACGGGAGAGUUUCUAGUCUUUGUCCAGGUUAUAAGUAAUCAUCUCUCUGUGAUAAGUUGAAAUCGAUAAAGAUUUUUUUUGCCCAUGUUUCAUCAGAUUUUUAGAGUUAUGCUUGCCUAAGUUUAUAGUGUAGUGUCAUGUUUUAGUUUCUAGUUCUUGUUAGGCUUUUUGAUUGAACUGAAUCUAACAUUUGAUAGCUUAAUAUGUUUCGUUCUUGAUGGUUGAGAUUUAGCUCAUGAAUAGAUUUUUCAGGUUUUGUAUGUUCACUGUGUUGCAUUACUUCUCAAAAAAAUUUUGCUUGCCUUAUGCCUGAAAUUCUACACCAACGACUUUGUUUCCUGUAAUAACCGGGCCACCACUAUUUCCAUGGUUGGUAGUUGCAUCAAUUUGUAUAGUCAGUGGUUUAGUGGAACUUUGAAGGUAUUUUUCAGUUUCAACUCCAGUUACAACACCUUUUGUAACACAUAUUGUUUCACCAACCACAUUUGAGCAAAUCUACUAUACAUUUUUGCAACACUUUUUGGGGUUCCUAAUCGGGUCAAAUUUUGUUUAAUUUUGACCCAGAAAUCUUCAAUCGGAUCUUUCCUUAUUUUUGAUAAAAUUAAAAAACGAAAAUUAAUCAAUAAAAUCUAAAAAAUAAAUAUUUUCUAAUAUGAUUAUUCUCUACAAUUUUUACUAAAAAUUAAAUAAUCUAAAAAUUGUCCAUAUGCCAUAUGUAUAUAUUAGUAAUUAGAAAAUAUAUCUAUAAAAUUAAAUAAUCUAAAAAUUAUAUAUCUAUAAAAAUUGUAGAGAAUAUGCCAUAUGUAUAUAUUAGUAAUUAGAAAAUAUAUAUUUUUUAGAUUUUAUUGAUUAAUUUUCGUUUUUUAAUUUUAUAAUAUAUACAUAUGGCAUAUUCUCUACAAUUUUAUAUAUGCCAUAUGUAAUUUUAUGGUAAUUUUAUUAAUUUUUAGAUUUUAUGGUAAUUUUAUUAAUUACUAAUAUAUACAUAUGGCAUAUUCUCUACAAUUUUUAUAGAUAUAUAAUUUUUAUAUUGAUUAUAAAAACACACACUAAUUUGAAAAAAUAUAUAUAUAUAUAUAUAUUAUAUAAACUAUUUGAAAGCAAACUUUUAAAUUGACUCGAAUUAUAUGUCUUUUAAAUAAAAGUGUUAUUAAAAGAAAUAACAAAAUUAUGUUUAAUUUUACGGGACAUGAUUAUAUGGUGGGACGGGUCGGAUUUGGAUUGAUAUUAAUACGGGAUAAUAUAUCACGGGUGAAAUCCUGGGAUUAACAAAUCAAAAUACAAUUAUACCAUUUUAAACACUAAACAAAACAAAUACAACUUAAAAUUUUCAUUUUUAGUUACAACGCAUGUGACUCGCAAUGUACAACAAAAAAUAUUAUAUACAACAAAUUCAUCAGUUUAUAAAAAGACAAAAAAAAUCAAAUAACUAACCCGCGGUGUACCGCGGGUAACAAUCUAGUAAUGGAAGCAUAAUAAGAGCUAGUUUCAUUAAUUAUCAGCCCUUUAAUAAACAUGACUUGCUAGCAUGAUAUGAUUUCUUGGAUGUUAUGCAGUAUUGGAACUCAUUUGAAAAUAGAAAACGUGAGCACACACCUAUCAUAUCUCUCUUUUAUUCCCAUAUUAUACCCUCUACUACUCCUCAUAUACGAUCAUUUGUAUUGCUAGCAGAUUAUUGUCACAAUGAACAUAUAUUUUUUAAAAUUUCAACUCUAAGUACAAGACCUUUUGUAAUUGUCACUAUCUAAUCAUUAAUUUAAGGCUACUUUUGUUAACCUUAGCUUCUCUUAGAUAGCUUGUGAAUCUAACUUUGCAUCAGAUUAGUUUAUCACUUUAUAUCGUCACAUAGGUAUAAAUUCAAGUUUGUGAUUCAAGUUUCUUUACUUGUUUCUGUAGUGUUAUUGUCUAUUCUGUUUGCUUGAUAGAGUUGUUUUAGUUUGCAUUCUAGAAUGGUCUUCCUGAUUCGGGAAGGAUUUAUAGUAAUUCGGGAAGAUCUUCCUGAUUCGGGAAGGACUUAUAGUAAUUCGGGAAGGUCUUUCCUGAAUAUAUCUGUUUACUGAUUUCCUUUAAUUUUAAUUGCAGGAAAAUGGGAGAUUCGUUUCCAACAGAUGUCACACUGCCAAAGCUUCUGUACAAUAUAGGACAGAAGCCAAAUUCAGAUGUUAGGAUAAAUCAAUGUGCAAGAUAUGAGUAUAUCGAUAAAGUACAAACCAUCCUCUCUUCUACAGAGUUUCAGAGAAUCAGAGAAUCGUUUUUAGGACCCGUUCUGAAGGCUACAUCAAGGGAAUUAAAUCUGUCAUGCAAGUUGAUCCAUUGUUUCUUGGCGAGAAGCUUAAUGACAGUGAAGAAGAAUGAGUUGUGGUUUCAUUUUGGGGGCCAACCUAUGGAUACUGGAUUGAUUUCAUAUGGUUACUGGAUUGAAAUGUUCUCCCCAGGAAGCUGAUGAAAAUGUGGAGGAUAAUCGCUAUGGUUGGGCAAAUACCAGUCAGCGACACACAUCUGAGGAGCUGUUAGACAUAUUGAGAAAGACUAAUAGGGAUUCAGGGGACGAAGAUUCCUUCUUGCCAUGCUCCUGUUGACGGAGUGUAUCUUUCUCAACAUGUUUAAAGGCAACAAAUUUCCUGCAACUCACCUUAAGAGAGCUCAAGAUGUUCAUCAAUUCCUCAACUAUCCACGGGGGAUAGAUGCUUUCAAGGUGUUGUUGUCCUCGAUUAAGUCUAUUGUGCCAUCUAAAUUGUUGAAGGGUAAGUAUGAUAUCCAAGGGUAUCUGUUGGCUCUCCAUCUCUGGAUUCUGGAGUCCAUUCCAGUGUUGCAAUCAAGCUUAAGCAGAGUGAGUUUGCUCGAGCCUUGGACUGCAUUCAUUUGUGAGAGGUACACAAGCACAACAACUCCACAAAUUCCGCAAAUAGAAAACUUAGAAGCUUCAGACAAUGUAAGUUCAUUCUCUGCUUUUAACUUAAUGGAAGAACUUAGAGAAAUUCAGGAAGUAUUUAUAGUAAUUCAGGAUGGUUUCGGAAAGUAUUUAUAGUAAUUCGGGAUGGUGUUCCUAAAUAUGUUCACUACAGGAAAAUAGAGUAUCUUUAGCGGCCGAAUAACGCUAUCUAGCGGUGGAAUUUGUGGACUAGAAAGCGCUAUAUCUGCGCCCAUGAUAAUUGGUCGACGGCUUCCGAUAGCGGUUUUUGGUGGUGCUAUAUUUUGUUUACAUAUUAUAGCUUGUUUUCUUAUGUAAUUUAAUAUUAUAUAAUAGCGACUAUAUUUUUUUAUUAAUUAUCAAAUUACAGCAUUUGUUAUAUGCAAUUUAAUCAAUUAGAAUAGCAUUUAUAAUACGCAAUUUAUUCAAUUAAAAUAGCAUUUGUAUUAUGCAAUAUAUUAUGGUUUUCUUUUUGUUUUGGUUUUUGUUUUUUUUUGCACUAUACAUAAUUUUCAAUCCGGUUUGACUAUACAUAAUUAAUGAAGAAUAAUACAAUUAAAUAAGAACUCUAGUUUGACUACAUUAGUUUCAAAACCAAACCGAAAUAACUUUAUUUGUGUCACACAACCAUAAAUUUCAACUUAAGCUACCUAACAUUAUCUUGCUUCAGACUAAGAGCUUAUCGUUAGGCUCAUCAAUAGUAUGACUUCUACACCUUCAUGUCCAAAAUCUUUUUCACAGUCUUGAUGUUGUUAAUUAACCUCUGCAUGAAACAAAAUUUUAAGAAUUUAAGAGCAAAUUAACAUCAUGUGAAACCAGAGUAAUUAUCAUGCUAAAUCAGAUUAAUUUCAGACCAAAAUCAUAGAUUAAGCAAACAAUUAAACAACUAAACAUCACAGAAUAAGAAUAAACAUCACAGAUUAAGCAUUUCAUUCAUAGAGGAAAAAUGAAUCCUUAUCCCUUGCAGAUGAAUGAGAUUUUAGAAAAAAGAAACAUAUGGAGAGAGAAUAAAUACAAACAAGUAUGACUAUUAAUGUUUUCACUUAGACUAAUAUUCAAAUAGUGAGAUAGAGUCACAUCAAACUCUUCAUCUAAGCACAAAAUUGAACUAAACAGACUAAUCAUGCUCAUCUAAGAGCAAGUACGAAUGAAUCUAGCUUGAAAUUACUUAGGAGAAGACAUCAAAUUGGUUUACAUAGAGACAAAGCCCUCACAUUUGAGAAACCAAACCUAGUCAAUUUGACUAACCACAAUAUAUAAUGCAAACGUUAAGGACUCACACAAAACCAAAUCGUUAAGGACUCGCACAAAACGUGUAAAGAAGAGAGGUUGUCAAGACGUGUAGGCCACAAAUUUUUUUCUGAAGGACUCACCAACUUGAUUCAACUAACGUCUAAUUGUUUUCUGAAAUUUUUUGCCACAAAUUUAUUCAAACUCACUUGGAAACCAAAAUCAAGACACCCUCACAACAACAAAAACAGAACAUGUCUACUAAGUAAGACUGCAUGGAGUGCAUAAAAACGUUGUAUAGAAACAAACAAAAUAGUAAGCACCUGCAAGUUUUAACAUCAACAACACAAAACCUAAAUUAACACAAAACAGUUAAGAAACAAGCAAGCCAAUAAUGAGGCAAUUCGUCGAACACCUGGAGGGCAUGAAAAGCAUCAUCAGAACAUAAACCACUCCACUCCUGCCAAAAGCUUCUAAGAAAUCAAUAUAAUCCAAAUCGAUCAAACCCUAACAAAAUCUAACCCAAGUGCUCAUGAAUCUACUGAACCAUAACAAAAUCAUACCUGCGACAAAGAUGUUUUGGGGUUUCUGGCCAACGAAAUCAAAUGCUAUGGUUUAGGGGAUCUGGACGAGCGACGAAGAUGGAGGAUGAAGAAUUCAUAGAAUUUAAGAAGAAGAAGAAUUUGGGGAUAAGAGCGAGAAUGACAAAGAGUGAUAGAAAUUGAUAAAAUCCAAUAGAUCUAGGGGUGUAUAAUCAUAGGAAAAGAGUGAAUGGGUAAAGGAGAGGUAAGGAGAAGGGAAGAAUCAAGGAAGAAGGGAAGAAUCGAGGAAGAGAGCGUAAAAGAGAGAAAGAGGAUAGAGAAGAUAGAAAUUAGGUUUUGAUUUUUAAUUUGAGCUUUUUUUUAUUGUUUGGCUAAGUGUUGGCGGUCUGGGCAAAUGUUUCGUUAAAUAUUGGCGGUCCUAAGUGAUCCUCUUCAGGAUCAUCAAACUCAAUUCAACUCCCACCUCUUCCAUCACAGCUCCAACGUCAUGAAAGCUGAAGAUUGGCGAAGAGGAUCACUUGACGUUGGAGCUGUGAUGGAAGAGGUUGCUAUGAAAUCUUAUAUGUUCAGUAACAAGGAGGCAGUGCAACUAUCUUCAUCAGGCGAGUCAUUUAUGGAGAAGCUUGACAAGCUAUACAAGCUAGUUGAAGAUGGGUUCAAAUCAACAAAUCAACGCUUAUCAAAGAUGGAGAAGAAGCUGAGAAUACUUAGUGCAAGAAAAAAAAAAAGAUCAGGUAACAGAAGCUUCUUAAAAAACUUUAGUGAUGUUAUAGAAACUGAAAUGAACGGUUUGAUUUCUUCUUGUAGAGGGAAAGACCAGAAACUCCAUCUCCUAGGGAAAAUGAUUUCUUUUUCAACAAUCCCCCAUCUCCUACCGCUACUGAACAACCAGCUGAGAAAGCAGAUGAGCAAGCACCUGAUCAAACAACUGAGCAACAUACUGUCCCUCUUACUCAGACUUCCCAGACUCAGAAGACGAUCCAAACAGAGGAGAUAACCCAGAAGAUUAGUUCUACAAAUGAGGUAAAAUAAAGAUUUCUACAGCUUUCUUAAAUCUUAAACUUUGUAAAAAAGCUAACUCAAAUAAUUACUGUCUUGGAUUUGAAGAUGAACAAAGAUUAGACAAAUGCUGAGAACUAAACACAGGAGGUAACCCAGGAUAUCAAUUCUUCAGGAAACAAGAAUGAAGAUAAUGUUGGCAAUAGAAUGAAUCAAAUGGAUGGAACUAAUGAACAACAAGACAAUGAUCAACAUGAUGAGGUGAGUUUUCUUUGUUUUACAGUGUUUAGGAACAUAUUUCCUGAACUUGUUAUAUUUGUUGCAGAGAGAUAAUGUUGACAAUGGAGUGAAUGAAAAUGAUAGAGCUGAUGAACAAGAAGACAAUGCUUAGCAUGAGGUGAGUUGUGGUUUAUAGUAAUUCGGGAAGGAUUUAAAUUGAGUUUUUACCUUCUGGUUUUCAUGUGCAGCAGAGAUAGAAGAAUCUCGAGCAGGAGGCAAAAAUAAUGAAUCAUUGCCAUGUCCUUUUUUAGCCAUUGAACAUGUAUCACUUGGCGGCACAGAAACUGAGAUGUCACUUCCAGUUGAUCGAUGAAGUUCUUGCCAGAAGAUCAAAUGUAAAUAAUUUAGUAUGUAGUGUAAGUCUGACCACAGUUAAUACAAGAAAGAGUCAUAUACGUUUUUACUUACCGUUACACACAAACGAAUUAUUUCAGGAUCUCUUUGUUUCUUCUUGAUGAAAGUGCAAACUUGGCGAUCAUUCCGAAUACAUAUUAGUAGAGAAUCUUCUAACAUCAGCUUCAUCCUUGGGGGAAGUUCAUAGCUAAGGGAAAUAUCUUUGACUAAGUCCGAAAUCUUCAAUAACACUCUCAACUAAUCCCUUGUAUGAAAUAUUCUCAUCUACCUCACAAAGGGAUCCACCUUUCUCUGUGUCUACUAAGAAAACCCACUGAAGCUUUUCAUUUUGUUUCCACUUCCCACAAACAGAGUAUAUCUCCACCAUACCUAAAGAAAGCAACAACCAAAUACAAUGAACAAACUAGAAGAUCCAUCAGAAUUCGUAAAGCAUCUACUUAUCAACAGUUUCCAAUUACAAGUCUCAUCUACUUAAGAUUUCUAAUGCAAUCAAGCCCAACAAUGAAAAAGGUAAGAGAUGAACAAUGACACAUCAGAAUUCUUUGUGCUGAAUCAAUGAACGCACCUAUAAUUCGCCUAAUUCCACAAUAGAAAGCCAUAAUUCAACAAUAAACGCCUAAUUUUGUCAACACGAUUGGGGAAGAUGAAGAAGAAAAAAUUGGUGAAAGAGAUCGAUUUAGACCAGUUUGAAGAUCGAAAAUAGGUGAAGCUUUCUCCGUCGCCGGCAGAUCUCCGUCGCCGGCAGAUCUCUCCGUCGCCGGCAGCUCUCUCCGUCGCCGGCAGCUAUCUCCUGAAAUCGUCUCUGUCCGUCGCCAGUUAUCGUGGAGUGCUAUUUUUUCCCUUUUGUUUAUUAAAUUUUUAAAAAUAAAUGAGUGUUAUUUUUGUCAAAUAAACUAGGAGAUGCUAUUUGUGUCACAAAAACUUCAUUUAAGGCUAUUGGAGACCAUUUUCGGUCUAACUUUUUCCGCCAAAAAAAUCCACGAAAUUCAAGAAGGAUAUCAAGAAAUUCAGAAAGGAUUCCUUGAAUUUCAGGAAAGGAUUCCUGAAAGGAUUGCACAAAAUUUAGGAAGUAUUCAACGAAUUCAGGAAGGAUUCCACGUAAUUUAGGAAGGAUUUCAUGAAUUCAUGUCGUGAAACCCUUCCUGAAUUACGUGAAAUCCUUCCUAAAUUUCGUAGAAUACUUCCUGAAUUUUUUGGAUUUUUUUUUGGCGGGAAAAGUCGGACGGAAUUUUUUUGGCGGGAAAAUUUUGACGGUUUUUUUUUUCGGGAGCAGAAAAUAUUUUUGCGGGAAAUUUUGACAGAUAUUUUUUUUGCGGGAAAAUUUUGACGGGAUUUUGUUUUAGCGGGAAAAUAUUAGCGAUGAAGUUGUGAUUUUUGGUAUCUAUUUAUAAUUAUUUAUUAAUUUAAAAAAUCAAAAAUAAGGUUUAUAAUUAUUUAUUAAUUUAAAAAAUCAAAAAUAUAGGUAAAUUAAUAUCAUUAUAAAUUAAUAAAAUACCAUGGCCUCAACAUUAUUAAUUUAUAGAGGUUUUACUGUAUAAGGUCCAUUAAUUUACUGCAGGAUACGCACAGUGAUGAUUAAAUUAUUUAAUAGUUGAGUGAAAAAAAAAAAAGAAUCCAUAUACUAUUUACAUAUAUGCUUCUUGUCUUUUUCUUUUUAUUUUGGUGGGCUGCUUCUUUUUCUUUUUAUUUUGGUGGGCUGCUUCUUUUUCUUUAUUAAUGUAAAUUGGACUAAGAAAAAAAAAAAGUAAUACUAAUAAACAAGAUGGGGCAAACGAGAAUAACUCAAAACCCUAAUUUUCUACUUACAGAACCUGGGGAGAUCACAAGAGAAACAAUGAUGAUGUCUGAUCUUCCGGUGGAUUUGUUAGAAGAUAUUUUCAAUAGACUCCCGACCACGUCUCUGAAAGGACUACGAUCCACUUGCAAACUAUGGAACGGUUUAAUAAAAAGAAACCCAAGAUUUCUCGAAGCUGCAAAGAAGCCUCUGGUUCUCAUUUUGAGGGAUUAUAGGGUUUGGCGAAUGAGCGUCAAUCACGACGUCGCUGCUCCAUCUAAAGAAUUUGAUGGUGCACUUAGCCUAAUGGAUCCACAUUUUAAGUCACAACAAGUCGAUAUAGCUGGCGUUUUUCACUGCGACGGUUUGUUGUUAUGCACCACCGAGGACGAUAGACUCGUGGUUUGGAAUCCGUAUUUAGAGGAAACCAGGUGGAUCCAACACAAAACUGAUCACAAGAGAGACUCUAAGUUAGCUCUAGGAUAUGAGUAUAACAAGCCUAGUCGUAGCUACAAAAUCUUGAGGUGUUGGGAUGGUUAUGAACCAUGUUGCUGCGGUUGAAAUCUAUGAGUUUUGCUCUGGUUCAUGGAGGGUUCUUGAUAACGACCCUCUGGACUGCUUCAUAGAACCAAAUACUGGUGUUUCUUUGAAAGGAAAUACUUACUGGAUUGCUUCGGAUGAAGUAACAAAUUUCUUACUCAGUUUUGAUUUUACAACGGAAAGAUUCAAAAGUUUUUGUCUUCCACCAAUUCAGAAUUUUGGGAAGAUAGUUCUAUCAGUUAGAGAAGAACAACUCUUAGUGUUACUUCAGAGCUAUCAUGCAUUAGAGAUGGAGAUUUGGAUGACCGAUGAUAUUGAUACUGAAUCCGCCUUGUCGUGGAGUAUAUUCAUUAAAGUGGAUUUCAAAAACCUCUCGACUUAUUAUUGUUUUCCGGUUUGCUGGAGUUUUUUGAUGCAUGAGGGGAAGGAAAAGGCCUUGUGUUGUACUAUAGGUUCUUAUGAGACCAGCAGGAACAUGGUCAACAUUACUGGACUGCACGAUCAAUAUUACGCUGAAAUCCCUGAUGAAGAUUCUACAAAUUGGCAGCGCCCGAUUAUCUUCAGUUAUGUACCAAGUUUGGUUCAAAGUUAGCAAGGUAGUGGACAAAAGAAAAGAAUGGAACUAGUCGGUACAAGUAAGGUUUGUGUUGUAGAACCUAUUUUUUUUUUUUCGGUUUCAUGUUUCUAGACAAUGUCAUUUGAUUAAUUAGUGAAUUGAUUUAACUUAUGAUUCAUUUCUUCUAUCCAUUACAUUCAUUGCCUCUUCUCUUUUUGCUUUUGCCGCCGCUGUCUCGGGAGUUUCUUCUCCUUGUGCUGGUUCGGCUGGCACUCCUUCUUCAACCACAGACCAUAGUUUUCUGGUCUUGAGAAUGGUUGUCAUCUUAAUGCUCCAGAAGUCGUACUUCUCCCCAUCGAAUAUAGGAAUCACUUGAUGUGAAGAGCCUUGCAUCGUUUCGGCUUAUUUUGCGAAACGUAUACGAAAAACUUUUGCCUUUUUCUUGCUGUGAUUGUUUGUGCUUUCUCUCUUUGUCCUCUCAAUCGAUAAGCUCUGAUACCAUGUUAGUCUUUUGAAGGAAUGAGAAAAAAAACAGAGUAAGAACAAUGGUUGUAACUUGAUCUUUAUUGAUAACUUGAAAAAGUAUUACAACUCGAGUAAUAUGUUUAACAAUCACACGUUCUAGAGUAUUUAAACAAACCGAACAGAUGUGAUGUGUAAAUGAAAGAACACAACUCUUAAUCUAAAAGACACAACCUUAAAACAGAGUAUUUGUGCCUCUUGAUCAAGUAACUAACUAAUGUGAAUAUAACUAACUUAUACGAGAUUUUGAUUAUAGUUCAACAGUUCUUAUCCCAACUGACUCGCUUUUGAUCAAAGUUUUAAACCAAUAUGCAAAUUUGAACCUGCACUUUGCGCUUGUACUCUGUGAAUGUAUGUGUUAAUAAGUGGAGGAACAUUGUCUGCACUGGGGUCAAAAAAACUCUACUAUAGAGUCCAAGAAGAAAACAAUGGUAAAGGAUAUAUGACCAACAAGAAAUUAUCAGUUGAAGAGAUACGUAACCGAAUUUCAAUUGAGAUCGCUUCGAGAUAGAAUAUAUAAAAAUAACCAGUUGGAGAGUUAAAGAUCUCACAUCUUAAGGUUUGAGUCAGUUUAGAGAAGAAGACAAAAGGGAAAAAGGUAUAGAAUUGUUUUCGUAUGUAUUUACUCAAUUAUAAGUUCCUCUAUCUGUUUAUAAAUUACGGGUGUCGUUAGUUGUUUUUCAUGUAUCGGCUUGCUUUAUCGAAUUUAAGAGACUGGUAGAAAGAUAUCCCUAAUUAGUUUUAGUAUAAACAGAAUCGUCAAAUAAUCCCAUGGUUUGUUAACUUUGUUUCUUUCUAGUUAUUUAACUUUGUUAUUCUCUCUCUGAAGACAUUAACGUUUUGCUAUCGCAUGUAUCUUGUAAUCCAAGCGAAGAUGUCAUUAUCCUUUUAUCUCUGCCUUUACUUGGUUAAUGGCUUAAACUGAUUCGAGUUUGUCUUUGUUGCAUGGGAUUGUUAUGGUUUGAUGGUCUGAUUAAGCUUGGGAAAUCUUGUAAUGUUUGAUAAGAAAACAGGUUCUCCAAAUUGAUGUCGAUAUGUUAAACCCUCCACCAAAGCUUGAGAAGAGGAAGAACAAGUGAAGUACUAUAUAUAAUAAGGUUAUAUACAACUUUAUCAAAAGAUCCGCUGUAGCACUUUGGCUUAAGUAUUUAUCUAGAUUGUCUAGAAUUGAUUUCCGGGUUCGAAGCCCGGCAGCGGAAUAUAUUUUUUGUACGUUUUAGGUUUUUUUGUCUUUAGCAAGAAACCGAAACGGCAGCGUAUUGUCUUCUUUUCUCCCAAAACCUUCAAAAUGCAGACUGCGCCUAGCAGUCACGUUGGAUUUGUGAAGGAAGCUCAUUUAGUCAUUUGUACUUAGAAAGAGAAAGAAGUUGACUUGGAGUUCCAUAGUGAUGAGAGAUUGGCUAUAGCUUACGGUCUAAUCGACAACAAAAGUCCAAUAAGGGCUGUGAUGAAUGCUAUUCUGUAACUAAAUUAAGUGUCUCGUAUCUAUGGACGAGAAAUUAUUGAGAGAGAAAACAGUAGAUUCCAUCACUUCAGAUACGGAUCUUUUUCUUGCAACAAGUUAAAUGCUAUAUGUAAACUUGUAUAUAGUCAUAGAAAAAGACCCGUUGUAGUACAUUGGUUAAACAAUUGAUCUAGUUCAAUUGAACAUGAGAUCCUGGUUCCAAGCCUGAUAGCGGAAUAUAUUUUUGGGGAAAACCGCCUUUUUCAACCUCAACUAUUUGCAGGCGGGUUUUUCCAACCCAAACUAUUACCCCUAGUCGAUUUCAACCCAAACCCAAAAUUAAUUCAAAAUCGAAACCUGAACUAAUGCAAAUGAGCCGAUUUAACCACGACACGGAACGGUGUUAGUUCGGAAGUUAACGGUUACUCAACCUUGGGUAAUUCUCUCUCUACAACAUUCAUCAAACUUUGAAAAUAAAAUCAAAUAACUUUGAGAACUGUUAACUUCCGAACUAACAUUGUUUCACGUCGUGUUGAAAUCGGCUCAUUUACAUUAGUUUAGGUUUUGAUUUUGUAUUAUUUUUGAGUUCGGAUUGAAAUCGACUGGGGGUCAUAGUUUGGGUUGGAAAAACCCGCCAGCAAAUAGUUGAGGUUGAAAAAAGCCGUUUUCCCUAUAUUUUUGUUACCUUUUAGCUUUUUUUGUUUAUAAAAAGAAAAUGAAAAGGCAGCGUAUUCCUCUGCCAACAACAAUUAGCUUUGUUGUACUACAUUGAUCUAGUCUUAGUGCUUGGAAAUAACUGAGAAGCCACAAAAGCUUUUAGUGAGUACUGUUACCGUUUCUGUUGUGAAGAUCAAGCACAUAAUUAAAAAAAAAACUUAUCAAUUACAAGGUUCCUGAUCUGGAACAAUAAAUUACAUGGAGAAUAUAUGCAAAAUUCUAGGACUCUGGCUAAAAAUACUCGUUUGAAGCAAAGAAAAAAAUACAAGGUUCCUGAUCUGAAACACAACACAAAAGUUUCUUGAAAGACGAUAAGUUUCUAUGAAAGUCUCUAUGAAGCUCCGUGCGAAGUUCUCCGCGAAACGGCCUAGGAUGAUCUUUGUCAAACCCCAUACGAAGCUCUUUACCAAGCACUCUACAAAGAUUCCUCUGCUUAAAGUUUUCCCUGUGAUGAAAUGAUAAAACCAAAUUUAUGUAAACCAUAUAAACACAACAAUUGUCUACAAAAACAAACCAAAUGAACACAACAAAUUAAAGACAGUAAACCUGAUCCUUCUUCAACUCAUGACUAAUUUGGACAUGUCACUUUGUUAUGCCCUUCUUCUUUACAGUUGGAACAUGUCAUAACACGACCAUGACCUGACAAUCUACUCUUCUUUGAUGUGGAUUCAUGAGGCUGUAAAGUUAAUGAAUCACAUUUAUUGUUAAUAUAUAUAUAUAUAUAGUGCAAAUAGGAAUACAAUUCAAGAGGGAACUGCCUCACCAUUUUCCUCUUCUUUGGCUUCACAUUGUCCAUCAUACCGCAUUCUUUUCUUUGUUACAACUUUUUUAAUGUACCCCGCAUUCUUUUAUCGCCCAUUUGUCAUUGGAGAUCACAAUUUCAAAGAAAAUCUCGUUUGAAGUCACACUUGAUUCUAUUUCAAAGAUGUAUAAAUUAAAUGCUCCGUUAAAGAGAGAAUGUUGAGCCUAUGCUGCUUGUCCAUGAUCCCACAAUGUACAGACACCCUUUUUCCAUUACCAGCUUUAACUUAACCAUUCUUCUUACUAACCAGAAUAAUGCAAACCUUAAAUAUCAAGGUUGAACAGAAAGGCCUCUCCUUCAACUUCACUACUAGAGAACCUCCACUAGCUCGAUAGGUGAAGUAGGUAGGUAUAUCUCCACCGGGUAAGACCGUAAGUUGAGUCGAUGUCUGGAUGAUGAGAUCUCUUGCUUCUUGAUUUAGUUUAAAGCAAUUAUCAAAGUUGAGACUGAUAUAUGGAUUGUGGCAGGAGGAAUAUAGUCUCUCUAAAGACUCACAAUUUUCUGCGAAUGGAGAAACUUUUUUUCUUUUUGAAUCAUGCCCGGUGAUGCUGUCAGGAGUAUGCAAGAAUUCCUUGAGGUUUUUGCAAUAUGACAUAUCUAAUGUCUCAAGACGCAAACAUGACCAGAUAAAUGAAGGCACCACUUCUAUCGCAGUUCCACUGAGAUAGAGUUCUCUGAUGUUUGUGGAGAUCUCAGGAAAACAUCUUAACGACGAGCAGCCACUAAGAACAAGUCUAUCGAGAGAUUUCAAGUUGACGUUGCCCGGAAGAAUCUCUAACUUGGAGCAUCCUUUCAUCGCCAACAUCCUCAGUUUAUGAAGGUUUCCAAUAGAGGCCGGGAUAGCCACAAGACUUGAGCAUCCAUUAAAAUCCAAAUAAGUGAGAUUAAUUAGAUUUCCAAUACAUGUCGGGACUUCCACAAGACUUGAGCAUUCACUAAAAACCAACACGUCGAGAUUAAUUAGGUUUCCAAUAGAGGCCGGGACAUCCACAAGACUUGAGCAGCCAUAAAAAUUCAAACUUUCAAGCUUAAUGGCAUUCCCAAUAGAGGAAGGGAUUUGCAACAAACUUGUGCAUGUAUUGAAAGAGUAGAUAUUCCCACCAUCUUGAUUCAUUAUGAAAUUCCCAAUAGAGGAAGGCAGCUCCACCAAACUUGAGCAUCCUCGGAUAUCUAAAUCUAAUUUAGUUAAAUUUCCAAUAGAAGAAGGAAGCUCCACAAGACUUUUACAAUCCCUGAGAUUCAAUGUUUGGAGAUUAGAAACAUUUCCGAUAGAGGAAGGGAGCCUCACUAGACUUGUACAAUAACUGAGAUUCAAUUUUUGGAAACUAGUAGCAUUUCCAAUUAAGGAAGGGAGCUCCACCAGACUUGUACAAUAACUGAGAUUCAAUGAUUGGAGAUGAGUUGCCUUUCCAAUAGAGGAAGGGAGCUGUGCCAAACUUAAACAAUCUCUGAGAUUCAAUGUUUGGAGAUUAGUUGCAUUUCCGAUAGAGGUAGGUAGCUCUACCAAACGGUGACAAUCACUGAGAUUCAAUGUUUGGAGAUUAGUUGCCUUUCCGAUAGAGGAAGGGAGCUCUACCAAACUUAAACAAUUUCUGAGAUUCAAUGUUUGGAGAUUAGUUGCAUUUCCGAUAGAGGAAGGGAGCUCCACCAAACUUGAACAUCCACUGAGAUUCAAUGUUUGGAGAUUAGUUGCAUUUCCGAUAGAGGAAGGGAGCUCUACCAAACGGCAACAAUUACUAAGAUUUAAUGUUUGGAGAUUAGUUGCAUUUCCGAUAGAGGAAGGGAGCUCUACCAGACUUGAACAUCCACUGAGAUCCAAUAUUUUGUGAUUAGCUGCAUUUCUAAUAGAAGAAGGUAGCUUCACCAGACUUGAACAAUUAAUGAGAUAUAAGUCUUGGAGAUUAAUUGCACUCCCAAGAGAAGAAGGGAGUUCAACCAAACUUGAACAUCCACUGAGAUCCAACUUUCUUAAAGUAGUUGCAUUUUCGAUAGAGGAAGGGAGUUCCACGAGACUUGAAAAAUUACUUAGAUAUAAGUCUUGGAGAUUAAUUGCAUUCCCAAUAGAAAAAGGGAGCUCCACCAAACUUGAACAUCCACUGAGCUCUAAUAUUUUGAGAUAAAUGGCAUUCCCAAUAGAGUAAGGGAGCUCCACGAGACUUAUGCAACCAUUAAGAUAUAAUUCUUGGAGAUUUGUUGCAGUCGAGAGAUCAGGAAGCUCAUUCAAAUAAUGAGAGGAUCUCAAAUUCAUCCACUUGAGAUUUGCAAGUGGCUGUACAGACAAAUAACAAGAUCACAUUUAUACACUGAGCAUUAUAACACAUAAAAAGAAUACGCAUGGAACAAAAAGAGCACAUUCCAUGCUUGAGUGUUUAAUAUAAUUAAAGAGCGAGUGACAAGAUCAGUCAAUUAAUAUUUUCUUUAAAUUAAAUAUUUUUAACCUUAAAAGUGUCACUAACACUAUAAACUACCAACAUAGUUUUACUAAGGGAAAUUGAACAGACUAUACCUCGAAGAGUCGUUAUUUAGGUGCCCAAAAAAGCUACUGUUUGGCUGGAACUGUGUAUGUGGAAAUUGCGUAUGUACCCCUAUAUAGCGGGAAGAUCUUUUUAUACUGUUUGAAAUAUAUUGUGUUAGACGGCCGUAUUAAAAUCUUAGUAGAUCAUUAUUUGUCUGCGCGUGUUGUAUUUUUGGUUUUCCUUUAUUUAAUUGGUCUUGGGGAAACGAGUCGUCGUUAUCCUUUUUCUUCCAUAUGGAGAGUCGCAUCCCUUUUUCGUCUUAGUAAAACACAUUGCUUUUCAGAGAAUCGAAGCGCUUUCGUCAGCCUAUCUUCUGUGUUGUUUCAAUUCGCCGUAGUAAAAUUCUGUUUGUCGCAGAGCCGGAGUAAAUUUCCUAUCUAUACUGACUAGGUUUUUUCGGAGUCUGAUAAGAUUUUGUUAUAUGAUUGUCUAACUGCGGUUCACAUUUUUCUUGUUAGAUGCGAGAGAUUGAACUUCCGAAUCGUUUGAUCGCUGAUGGAGAAGAACCCCUUGGGGAAAGUGUUAAUGUAUACCACAAAAUCAAAACACUAUGCGGCAUUAUUGAAGCAUUGGAUGACGAAGAACGUGAGUAUAUUGCGGGUACUUCGCUUGGUGGGAUUUUGGAUUUUCCUAAUAAGCCGUCGUGGUCUGCGAGUUUUGGUAUUUUCCUUUUGAGUCGCCAAUUGGAUGUAGCGAAACCCAAUGAGAUUUGGGUUGUAUACGCCGGCACGCCUGUUCGUUUCUCGAUGCGGGAGUUCAAAAUUGUUACUGGUCUUCCCUGUGGUAAGUACCUGUCUCGGAAAAAGAAGAAGAUAAGAGGGACGGCUGGGAAAAAAAUUCCUUAUUACAGCACUUUGUUUGGGCUUGAAGAAGACGUGACAGUGGAAAGGGUUGUCACGAUGUUGAAAAGGAGGAUUGUCUCUGAUAGAGACGUAAGGCUGAGAUACGCGUGCCUGGCCAUUGUUGACGGGUUUCUUCUUCCUACCUCUCAUUACCCCAAAAUAAUGAAGGAACACGCUGAGAUGUCUGAAGAUUUGGAGGGUUUUCUUGCUUAUCCUUGGGGGCGGAUGUCCUUUGAGAUGAUGAUGACCUCAAUUAAAGAGAGGGAAGUUGAGCAACUCGCUACUACUUGUGUCGCUGUUCAGGGCCUGUUAUACGCUCUCCAGCUUGUUGUUUUGCAAGCUGCUCCCGCUAUUCAGGAAGGCCCGUUGAUGGAUGAGGUUGUGGGGACCGACUCUGAUGAAGAUGAAGCUGUUGAAGUCGCUCCUCGUCAGUUGGUUCCCCUGAUGCUUGGCAAUGCGAAAGAGUUGGAUGGUAACUGCUCGGUAAGAAAUCUACUACCCGAUAAUUAUAUUAUCUUGAUAUCAUUUUUGUUAACGUUACUAAUCUUCAUCUCUGAUAUGUUUUACUAAGCAGACGUAUGUGGAGCCUAUCAUUUGCCCUGACGUGGAGAUGAACCCGCAAGAAGAUUUAAGCUGGUCUGAUGAUGAGGAAGAUGUGAGAAAUUGAUAAUAUCGUCAAGUUAGUUGGCGAAGGGAUUACUUUUCGCAAUGAAAUGUUCACUGGGGGAUGUAUACCAUCCGAGGUGGAAGUGGGGCCAAAAAAGGUUAAGAGGGGUGGCAAAUCCAAAAUAGUCCGUGGUAGGAAGCCACAAAACCAAGGGAGGAACCCGGUUGGUCUACGAAGGAAGCAUCAAAGUCCCAAUUUAGAGGAAGGUCAAGGUUCUGGUCAUGUAGUGAAAGAUGAUUUGUCUCGAUUGCUCGAUGACAAACUCGACGGCCUAGAAAAAAGGAUUAUUCAAGGGGUGAUUAAUUGGUUUGUCAAGAACACUGUUAUUGACGUUGACAAUUCUAAAACCUCGGCGACAUUAGGAGACCCCGUUCCUGCUGAUAAGAUGAAACAAUCUGCUGUUGGAAAAAAUGUGAAUUCUUCCCCUGUUCACGCCUCUGCUGCUCAUGCUAUGUAUGAUUCUUUUCCAGCUGGUGAAUAUAAUAUCCGGUCUUCUACCCGUGUUGACGUGAUGGCUGGUGUUGAAGAUGUAGUGAGUUUCUACAAUUCUAAUAACGUCGGCGGUGAUGGUAAUAAUGUGGCUGGUGUGCCUCCUAACCAAGAUAAUGUAAUGGUUAGUUGAUAAUAGCGUUCUGGCGUUACUUUUAAUAUGUUUUGAAAUUUCGAGUUUUGAAAUUUAACAGUGUUUUAUUGUUGGCAGAAUGAAAACGAGAAGACUAUGCCACCUCCCGGGAAUCCUGCUGAUAAGGAUAAGGUUAGUUGUUAACAUUAAAACAUUGAUCACUUGUUUCUUAUCGUUUUUGUUGGUCUCGACAUUGUGAAGCCAUUUUUGGCGAUUGCAUUCUGCCCAUUUUUAUUCAUUUUUGCUUGUGUUGCCCUCUUAAUCAAUUGGUAACACAUUAUUUAUUUUUGUAGGUCCCAUUGCCUGAGGUGUCUUCUUCCUUGCCAGACAGCAGCUUGCAGGUUACGUAGUAUAGUUAAGUUUUAUGUAUUAGAUAUCUAUAUUUUUACCUGCUAACGACUAAUACGUAAUUGCGAAUUAUUAGGGUGAUGACAUGGAGACAUCGUAUCCCAGAGAGUCGGAGGUAAGUUAGAUAGGAAAUUUCGUCCAGGGAGUACCUUUUUUAGAUUAUCGGUUUCAUAAAUUUCUUAUUCAUAUCUUAAUUGUUUCAGUCGGGGAGUGAGACUACUCGUGGAAGUCAGGAAGAGGUUGAUAAUAAUGAAGUUACCAGCUAAUAUCUUUAUCCGCUAUAUCUUUCUCAAACGAAUAUAUGUAUCAAGUUAUUGUAAUGUUGUUACAUUUUUGCUUGUUAGGCCCUCAGCCCCCUCCAUUCUGAUUUGCCACCUACUACAGAUGCUGAUGUUAGUUAAAUGUGUUUUAUAUUUUAUUCGUUUUAUAUAGUAGUUUAGCAGCUAAGUAUUAUAUGUGGCUAGCUAAUAUUUAAUUCGCUUUCUUUUCUGAAGCUUGGGGAUACAAAUCUCCCUGCUUCUUCGUCCCCAACAUUACCUGUCCUCCCCGAUGACAGUGGUGCGAUUGUGGGAGCUUCUGAUUCUGUCUUGGUAAUGGUCGAUCUUCAUCAUUUUUUUUUUAUUAUUUUUUCUUUUGUUUGGUGGUUUUUCUGAUUCUGGAGCCGAGUUUACUCAAUUUUCUCCACGAUUCCCCAGGUCAACAACUCUGCUGAGGCCCUCGAGCAUCGAGCUCACGAACUCGUUUUUCCAUUUUUUCUUAACCUUUCUAUUCAUUUUUGUACCCCCUUCUUUCUUAUUUAGCCGGUAAGAUCGUUAUCAUUCAUUUAUUUUUAAUUAUUUUAUUCUUUCUUCCAGGCAAACAGCAGUCCUUUGGAAUCAACCUCUGCAGUCGAGGAAGAGAAGGAUUCUGAUCAGGUCAGUAGUUUCUUCUCUUUCACUAACUUGCAUUUUGGGAAAUCCUUAUCCGGUGAUUUCAAUUUAAGGAUUUCACCAAUUAGUAACCGGUGCUUUAGCAGGUAAGAUUGUUAUCAUUUAUUCUCUUUUAAUUAUUUUAUUCUUUCUUGCAGGCCAACAACAAUCCGGCAAAAUCAACCACUGCAGUCGAGGAACAGAAGGAUUCUGAUGAGGUUAGAUAUUUUUGCCCUGUUACAGAUUUAAUUUGGUAAAAUACUUAAAUGGGGAUAUAUUUCUUGUUUCAUUUUUAGGAUUUCACCACUCCACCCCCGUCAACCUAGUCUCGAUCUAACGUCAAGGUUAUCUUGUAACUAUGGUGUUAUUGCUUAUUGUUUAUAUUCAUCAGUUGUUUCUAAUUUUUCAUUUUGUAGGAGGUUUUGUGUGCCAAACCUCUGUCCUUUGUUGAUGGCAAGGCCGCCCCUGUUGUCCCCUCGAAUGUCUGUUUGAAGGCUGGUAGGAGGAGCAAAAGGCUUAGAACCUUUUCUAGUAAAUUAGAUGAGAGGUUCCAUUUCGAUAAGAAAAUUAAGGGCUUAGUUGGCCACCCUUCCCCGUUGGUAGUAGGAAGUAAUCAAUGCGUUGACCCUGAGGAACGAUUCCAAGGAUCUCUUAAAAAACUCAAGGCGACAAGGUUAACUUUGUUACCAUGUAAUGUUGGUUAUCCGAUAGUUACAACAUUAUUCGCUGUUUUUAGGAUUUAGCAUUUUUUUUCCCUUGCAGUUCUGUUUCCCUGGGUGGGGAUAUUUUGCUUGCUAACAAGGAUAUUUUUGAAUUGAUUGAGCGGAAAAAACAUCUCAACAACAAGGUAUUAAACCCUCUUCUUUUUAUGUAUGUAUGUUUUAAUUUAUCAUUACCCCUUUUGUUUAUUUCUCUUGUUUUCUUUCAAGGUCUUGGAUGCACUAAUCAAGUUCAGUCGGCAUAUAUUGAGGGUUGAUGAUGGUGACGGUGAGAAGUUGCGUAUUGAAGUCCUCGAUUCGAAGUUUGUUUCCCAGCUAACUCGUCUUUAUUACAAGUUUUCCAAAUCUGAUCCCCUUGGAAAUUUCAUUUUCCCAUCCCCAUUGAUUGAUAUUUUACGUGGAGCUGGGGAUCCUGAGCGGGUUGAAUUAUUUUCCGAGGCUGAUUUUCAUUACCUGCCGUUUAACUUCGACAAAAAACAUUGGGUUGCAUUGUGUGUUGACCUCAAUGGCGGCAAGAUUGUAGUCCUUGACUCUAAUUAUCAGCUCCGUAAAGAUGCAGCUCUACAAUCUGAACUUCAGCCUCUUGCUGUCAUGCUGCCUUUCCUUCUCAAACAAGCUGCAUUUAAUCCGUCUAUGAAGCAGUUGCCUGUUAACCCAUUUUCUAUUGAACGUCCUCUGUCGAUCCCUCAGGUUUCAUCUCCAUUUGAUUCUGGGGUUGUAUCUGUCUUCUUAAUCCAUGUGCAUGCCACUGGAGGUCUGGAGGAGUGUAAUGAUUUUGACGUUGGGGCGAUUGAGAGUGAAGUGAAAAAGCUCGUUUGUGCCAUAAUGAUUGCCGGUGUUGCUUCCUAACCGUUUUAUUAGCGGUCUUAGUUGUUUCUUAUCCUGAACCAAUCUCUUACAUCUUUUAAUGUUUGGUUAUUGCUACCUUUUUAAUUUCUUGGUAUGUUACUAUUUUUAAGUAAUAUUUGGAGUUUUUUUUUGUUGUUCUUUUUAUUUGUUAACUGGUUGGUUCGUAACCCCUCAGUCCGUAUCCUUCCUGUUGUUAUGUAAGCCUUUUGUUACCACCUAACAAUUGGAGCAAUAUUUUUCACUAAAACUAAGUGUUUCCUGAAAGCGUAAACGGCGACGUUUAACUAAAAAAUAAUUAAAAUUUUGCACCCACCCUUGUUAAAUAUCGACCGCAAUUUGUUGCUAAAGCUCCUAUCCUCCUAUUGAAAUCCCGAACCCUUGAUAUAGCAGUUAACCUAAGAUAUAGCAGGUAAGCUUAGAUCUUUUUUCUCAGAAAUACUGGGGAUAGUAAUCUCCCUGCGUCUUCGUCACAAACAUUACAAGAGUACAUUAGAGACAAAAGACAUCCAAAAUGACAGAAAACCAAUAUUCAACAAUGACUCAAAAUAAGCAAGGACAACAAUUACGCAAAUCUGAGUCAAACACAUGACGAUGACUCAACCUAGUACCUUAAUGAGACCUACCAUGAUCAAACAACCAAAAACAAAAAAAAAUCAUCAUCUUAUUCAUCUUGGACUUGAACUCAGAUUUUUUCCAUCAUAGCAUCUUCCACUCUCUCAAAAAUCUCUUUCUCAAGCUCCUUCUGCAUUUUCUCAAAAAUCAUCUCGUCGUGCUUCAUUGAAUUUGUUAUGAUCUCUUUGAUGUCUUCUUACAGCCUCUUAGUUUGCCCAUUCAAUGUCGAUACCUCAUCACACAAUGCCUCAUCCACCCACUUAAAUGUGUGGUUAUCAUUCAUAAGCUACAACGAGAAAGACAAGUAUAAGUACAAUGAGAAUCUAAAAUAAACAUUAGCCAUCAAAGUUCAACGGAAGGGUAUUACUCUAUUUGUUGCAGCAUAACCACAACGAAAGUAGCGGCGGUAUGGAUUUGGGUCGGAUUUUGAAAUUUUUUGCACAAUUUGUUCUCCACACCAACAUUUCUUGGGCACGCCUUUCACUCUUUCCCGGACAUUUGAUGAUCCACUUGAAGCUCCAGAGAUAUUGCUCAUGAUUAGAGAGGUCGAUUUUAGAGAUUGAUGAUUUUAGGUUUUUUUUUUUUUUUUCGAUUUGGGGAUUUUGGAGAAGAAGAUGGAGUAUAUAGG